rnacentral:lncRNA from 1 species
UGAUGGAGGGGUGGCGGUGGCAGUUGGUGGCGGUUGAGGGCGGCAGUUGGUGGCGGUGGCGAUUUCGGCAUCGGCAGCGGCGGUGGCGCAGGGAAGAGAGAAGGAGAAGAAUGAAGAUAGAAAGAAAGUGGAACGGUUAAGAUCUAGGUUAGAUGCUUUACCGAGAGGGUCUCUCGGAAAAAGUGGCCAUUACCGAGAGCCGAUAAUCGACCCUCGGUAACCACAGCUCUAAUUUUUUUCCUUCUCUUUGUGUUUUUGUUUGGACUAUCUUUUUUGUAUCUCAUAUUUCAUAUGUUUUUAUGAUCAAAGUUUGAAAAUUCCAAGACUUUUGAUGAAUUUUUUCGAUAAAAGACUUUUGAUGCACUCAUAUAUAUGCUUUUUUGGUUAGAUUUGUUCAAAACUCAACUUUAAAGAGUGUAAAGUAAAAAACAUGAGAAGAAGCAGUUGUUGACCGUGGCCCACCCCAUCUCUUGGUGCCGGUCAACUUCCUAGACCGGCACCGAGAGAGAACUUUAAAGAGUGUAAAGUAAAAAACAUGAGAGGAAGCAGUUGUUGACCGUGGCCUACCCCCUCUCUCGGUGCCGAUCAACUUCCUAGAACGACAGCGAGAGAGAACUUUAAAGAGUGUAAAGGAAAAAACAUGAGAAGAAGCAGUUGUUGACCGUGGCCUACCCCCUCUCUCGGUGCCGGUCAACUUUCUAGACCGGCACCGAGAGAGAACUUUAAAGAGUGUAAAGUAAUAAACGUGAGAAGAAGCAGUUGUUGACCAUGGCCUACCCCCUCUCUCGGUGCCGGUGAACUUCCUAGACCGCAGGGGCCACCGGAUAGCCCAUACAUAUACAUGUGAUGGCCUCCUUUGAGAGCACAAGAAGUUUUGAGGCCAACGGAGCAACAGGACCUGCACUUCCUGCACAAAUCGUACACAUUCCGCCUCGAUACCCAUAGACUAUCUCAAAGAAUGGGCCUAGACUUGGUCUGUCAUCUCGCGAUGACAUGCCCUAACACGGAGAAGCAGUUAUUCACAAUGGACUACACCCUCUCGGUGCCGAUCAACGCCCUAGACCGCCGGGGCCNNNNNNNNNNNNNNNNNNNNNNNNNNNNNNNNNNNNNNNNNNNNNNNNNNNNNNNNNNNNNNNNNNNNNNNNNNNNNNNNNNNNNNNNNNNNNNNNNNNNNNNNNNNNNNNNNNNNNNNNNNNNNNNNNNNNNNNNNNNNNNNNNNNNNNNNNNNNNNNNNNNNNNNNNNNNNNNNNNNNNNNNNNNNNNNNNNNNNNNNNNNNNNNNNNNNNNNNNNNNNNNNNNNNNNNNNNNNNNNGGGAGGGCACCCCUACAUGCAUGUGGCCCAUGCAUAUGCAUGCAGGGGUGGUGUGCUAUUUGAUAAGCAACGCACCUCCUUGACGUGGCACGUGCCACACAAACCACACACACGGGCGGGAACGUCGAGGACCGGCUGCGUUCGUCCCCGAUUCAGAGUCUUCGGCGGGUGAUCCCAUGACAGAACGAACCUAGACUUGGUCUAUCAUCUCGCGAUGACAUGCACUAACACGAAGAAACAGUUAUUCUCCGUGGCCUACGCCCUCUAGUUGUUGAACAAUGCCCUAGAUUGUUGGGGCCACCGGAGGGGUGUCGGUCUGUAGAACUGGGCGAGGCCCAUCUGAAAAAGAAAACACAAGAUGGUAAUUAUGAUGUUCUAAGGUUGUUUGCCAAGAAUGGAAGAAAACAACAAAAAAAAGUAAAAUACAUAUCGAGAAUGCACAAGAAGGAAAGAGAUCUAGGUUAGAUGCUUUACCGAGAGGUUCUCUCAAAAAAGUUGCCAUUACCGAGAGCCAAUAAUCGACCCUCGGUGACCACAGCUCUAAUUUUUUUCCUUCUCUUUGUGUUUUUGUUUAGCACUAUAUUUUUUGUAUCUCAUAUUUCAUAUGUUUUUACGACCAAAGUUUGAAAAUUCCAUGACUUUUCAUGCUUUUUGGGUUAGAUUUGUUCAAAACUCAACUUCAAAGAUUGUAAAGUAAAAAACAUGAGAAGAAGUAGUUGUUGACCAUGGCCUACCCCCUCUCUUGGUGCCGGUCAACUUUCUAUACCGGCACUAAGAGAGAACUUUAAAGAGUGUGAAGUAAUAAACAUGAGAAGAAGCAGUUGUUGACCGUGGCCUACCCCUGUCUCGGUGUCGGUCAACUUCCUAGACCGUAGGGGCCACCGGAUAGCCCAUGCAUAUACAUGCGAUGGCCUCCUUUGAGAGCAUAAGAAUUUUUGAGGCCAACGGAGCAACAGGACCCGCACUUCCUCCACAAACCGGACACAUUCCCUCUCGAUACCCAUAGACUAUCUCGAAUAACAGGCCUAGACUUCGUCUGUCAUCUCGUGAUGACAUGCACUGACACGGAGAAGCAGUUAUUCACCAUGGACUACACGCUCUCGGUGCCGUUCAACGCCCUGGACCGCCGGCGCCACCGGAUGGGUGCUCGAUAUAGAGACCGCUCGAGGGGGGGGGGCGAUGGCACCCCUACAUGCGUGUGGCCCAUGCAUAUGCAUGCGGGGGUGGUGUGCUAUUUGAAUAAGCAACGCACGUACUUGACGUGGCACAUGCCUCACAAACCACACACACGAGGCGGGAACGUCGAGGACCGGCUGAGUUUGUCCGUGAGAUAGAUUCUUCGGUGGGUGAUCCCAUGAUAGAAUGGGCCUAGACUUGGUCUGUCAUCUCGCGAUGACAUGCACUAACACGAAGAAGCANNNNNNNNNNNNNNNNNNNNNNNNNNNNNNNNNNNNNNNNNNNNNNNNNNNNNNNNNNNNNNNNNNNNNNNNNNNNNNNNNNNNNNNNNNNNNNNNNNNNNNNNNNNNNNNNNNNNNNNNNNNNNNNNNNNNNNNNNNNNNNNNNNNNNNNNNNNNNNNNNNNNNNNNNNNNNNNNNNNNNNNNNNNNNNNNNNNNNNNNNNNNNNNNNNNNNNNNNNNNNNNNNNNNNNNNNNNNNNNNNNNNNNNNNNNNNNNNNNNNNNNNNNNNNNNNNNNNNNNNNNNNNNACCAUGGACUACACCCUGUCGGUGCCGAACAACACCCUAGACCGCCGGGGCUACCGGAUGGGUGCUCGAUCUAGAGACCGCCCGAGGGGGAGGGCACCCCUUCAUCCACGUGUCCCAUGCAUAUGCAUGCAGGGGUGGUGUGCUAUUUGAAUAAGCAACGCACCUGCUUGACGUGGCACGUGCCUCACAAACCACACACACACACGUGCGGGAACGUCGAGGACCGGCUGCGUUCGUCCCCAAGACAGAGUCUUCGGUGGGUGAUCCCGUGACAGAACGAGCCUAGACUUGGUCUGUCAUCUCGCGAUGACAUGCACUAACACGAAUAAGCAGUUAUUCCCCGUGGCCUACCCACUCUAGGUGCCGAACAACACCCUAGACCGUCAGGGCCACCAGAGGGUGCUGGUCUCUAGAAUCUGGCGAGGCCCUCUGAAAAAGAAAACACAAGACGGUAAUUAUGAUGUGCUCAGGUUGUUUGUCAAGCAUGGAACAAAACAAAAAAAAAGUAUAAUACAUAUUAUCGAGAAUGCGCAAGAAGGAAAGAGGUCUAGGUUAGAUGCUUUACCGAGAGUGUCUCUCGGAAAAAGUGGCCAUUACCGAGAGCCGAUAAUCGACCCUCGGUAACCGCUGCUCUAAUUAUUUUCCCUUCUCUUUGUGUUUUUGUUUAGCACUAUCUUUUUUGUAUCUCAUAUUUCAUAUGUUUUUACGACCAAAGUUUGAAAAAAUUCCAUGACUUUUGAUCAAUUUUUUCGAUAAAAGACUUUUGAUGCACUCAUAGAUAUAUAUAUACUUUUUGGGUUAGUAUUCACAGCAUGGAGGGUAUGACCCUGAGUGGAGGUCGAAGACCAAUGAUUUCCUGGAAUUAGUAUUUGCUGGAGAAAUGCCAGUUCCUGGAAUUUGGUGCCCAUGUACGGAGUGUGAUAACUAGACUGAAAGAGAUAAAAUUACUAUGAGUAAACACUUAGGAAAAUAUGGGUUUACGCCAGGCUAUUACCGGUGGAUCUUCCGCGGUGAGAAAAAACAGUCCAGGGCGGAGGUGGUGCGACAACGCACCAGCGGAUAUGAUACUCGGAUUGAAAACCUGUUAGAUGACAUCCGCCGUGUGGAUCCGCGGGAGGACCCGAACAUCAAGGAGUGAUACGUCUCCAACGUAUCUAUAAUUUAUGAAGUAUUCAUGCUAUUAUAUUAUCCAUCUAUGAUGUUUUAUAUGCAUUUAUAUGCCAUUUUAUAUGAUUUUUGCGACUAACCUAUUAACUUAGAGCCCAGUGCCAGUUCCUGUUUUCUCCUUGUUUUUGAGUUUUACAGAAAAGGAAUACCAAAAGGAGUCCAAUUGACGUGCCAAUUUUUGACGAUUUUUUAUGGACAAAAAGAAGACCACGGAGCAUUGGAGUUGGGCCAGAAGAGACCCGGGCUGCCCACGAGGGUGGGGGGCGCGCCCCCCUAUCUCGUGGACAGCCUGCAGACCCCCCUGAUGUGAAACCUAUGCCUAAAAUUCCUAUAAAUACAAAAACCUUUGGGAAAUACCCUAGAUCAGAAGUUCCGCCGCCGCAAGCCUCUGUAGCCAUGAGAAAUCAAUCUAGGCCCUCUCCGGCACCCUGCCGGAGAGGGCCAUCAUCACCGGAGGCCGUGGAGGAGGAUCUCGGAGGGACCAUCAUCGCCAUGAAGGCCAAGCACCAGAGGGGGAAAGCCAUGGAGAAGGAAGCAGAAGGGGGAGAACCUCUCCUCCUCUCUCUUGGUGGCACCGGAGUGCCAUAGGGAGGGGAAUCAUCGCCACGGUGAUCGUCUUCAUCGACAUCACCAUCAUCAUCACCAUCCUCAUCUCUUUUACGCGGUCCACUCUCCCGCACCCCACUGUAAUCCCUACUUGAACAUGGUGCUUUAUGCCGCAUAUUAUGAUUCAAUGAUGUGUUGCCAUCCUAUGAUGUUUUGAGUAGAUAUCUUUUGUCCUUGGGUUGAUUGAUGGUCUAGAUUGGUACGAGUUGUAUGUUUUAUCUUGGUGUUGUCCUAUGGUGCCCUCCUUGUCGCGCAAGCGUGAGGGAUUCCCGCUGUAGGGUGUUGCAAUACGUUCAUGAUUCGCUUAUAGUGGUUUGGUGAGUGACUGAAACACAAACCCGAGUAAGGGGGUUGUUGCGUAUGGGAAUAAAGAGGACUUGAUGCUUUAAUGCUAUGGUUGGGUUUUAGCUUAAUGAUCUCUAGUAGUUGCGGACGCUAGAUAGAGUUCCAAUCAUAAGUGCAUAUGAUCCAAGUAGAGAAAGUAUGUUAGCUUAUGCCUCUCCUUCAUAUGAAAUUGCAAUGACGACUAUCGGUCUUGUUAACAAUUGCCUAGGACAAUUCCGCACACUGAUCCAUCUUUAUUCCACACUCGCUAUUUAUAUUAUUUAAUAAUAUAUUCUAACUUUAUGAUAACAGCACCUACUUUUAUAUUUUAGCUCUCGGAUGUCAUACAAAGUUAUCCUCUUUAUACUCACAACACAGUUUUAUUUCUUGGAAGCAAACGUUCGGUGCACGUAGAGUUGUAUCAGUGGCAGAUAGGGCUUGAGAGAAUAUUGAUCUUAACUUUGGCUCCUUGUGGGUUCGACACUGCAUACUUAUCACUUCCAUCUUUGGGAAUUGCUACGAUGAUUCCCUGCACUUGGGGAUCUCAAGCUCUUUUCUGGUGCCGUUGCCGGGGAGCAAUAGCGUGGGGUUGAUAUUCUCGUGUGUGCUUGUUUGCUUUCUUCACUAAGUAUAUUUUGUUUAUCCUUUUUGUUUCAGUUUAGUUGUGGGUGAAACAUACGAAAAAAUAUUAAAGAAUGAAAAUACAAAAAAAAAUAUUACUUGCCUCUCAUGCCUGUUUUUUUUCAAAAAGAGAAGUGAUUGGAAAGUUAUGCAUUGAAGAAGUGAGGGUCGACCUUGAGCACUUGUGUUCAUGCUCACGGAAAUAAUGUAGAAUUUUUCAUGGAAGUUUCUCUGUAAAUAAUUAUCCCCUUGUAUAUAUCCAUUGUGUUAUAAAAUAAUGUGCCAAGCUUUUGUUUUAUUAUGAUAAGAUUGCUUGCUUACUAUGUGCAGAACAAAAACAGAAACUUUAGCUGUAGUGCAUGAAUUUACGUUUUUUACUGGAAAGUCAAAUGGGUCUGAAACUUUUUACACGUUACUUCUGUACAGAUUUUCCAAAUUGUCAAACUUAUUUCAUAAUUUUAGGAGUUAUAGAAGUUUACUAAACUUCCAGAUUACUACAAACUGUCCUGUUCUUGACAGAUUCUAUUUUUCGUGUGUUGUUUGCUUAUUUUGAUGCAUCUAUGUCUAGUAUGUAAGGGUAUGAACCAUAGAGAAGUUGGAAUACAAUAGGUUUAACACCAAUAUAAACAAAGAAUGAGUGAAUUACAGUACCUUAAAGUGGUAGUUUGCUUUAUUACACUAACGGAUCUCACAAGUUUUUGUUUAAGUUUUUGUGAAUGAAGUGUUUGAAGAACGAGGAGUUACCGAUGUGAGAAGAAUAAAUAGAGACAAGAGUUCAAGGUUGGGGAUCCCAAGGCACCCCAAGUAAAUAUUUCAAAGGAUACUCAAGCAUCUAAGCUUGGGAUGCCCCGAUUGGCAUCCCAUCUUUCUUCUUCAACAAAUAUCGGUAUAUAUCGGUUUUUGUUUUGUUCAAAUGAUUUGUGUCCUUUGUGUUUUUAUUUUUUCUUUAAGAAUCAUGCUAAUAUGAGAUAGCUCUUCAUUUAUCUUAUAGAAUUGCUCUUUGUGCUUCACUUAAAUCGUUUGAGUAUGGUUUUAUAGAAUGCUUCGUGCGCUUCACUUAUAUAUUUUGAGCUUGGAUGUUGGCUAGUCUAUAUUAAUUGUAGAUUGCUCCAGGAACUUCACUUAUAUCUUUUGGAGUAUGAAUAAUACUAUAAUUUAAAGUGGGUUUGGAAGAGUGUCAACUUUAGGAAUUAGUGAUCCCACUAUCUUGGAGGGUGUUGAAUCUUCGUAUAAUAUUUAUGAAAGUGGAUUUGGAAGAGUGUCAACUUUAGUUAGUAUUCCACUAUUUCGGAAGAGGUUCCAAUUGAGCAUGAGAACAAAGUUGCUAUCUAUGAUGCUACUGAAAAUUAUUAUGAGGGAGGAAUAUGUGCUCUUAGGAGUUGCAAUAAUAUCAAGUUUCCUCUCUAUGUGCUUAAAGUUUUGAAGUUAUACUUGUUUUGCCAUCCUAUGCUACUUGACUUUUGUUCCUAUAAAUUGUGUUCUCACAAAAUCCCCAGGAAUAGGAAGUGAGUUAGAUUUAAAUGUGCUAGUCAUAUUCUACAUGAUGCUCUCUUUGUGUUUCAACUCUUUUCUUUUAUGCGAGCAUCAUUGAAAUCAUCAUGACUAGCUAAAAUGCAUUAAAGAAAAGCGCUUGUUGGGAGACAACCCAAUAUUUAUCCUUACUGUUUUUGUGUGUCUACAUGAUUAAGCUACUUUAGUAAUCAUGCUUUAUAGCUUUUGUUUCAAUAAAGUGCCAUGUAAGACCUAUGGGAAGACUUGGGUGAAAGUUAAUGUGAUCUUGCUGUAAAAAACAGAAACUUUGCACUCACGAGAUUAGCUGUCAUUUUUUACAGAAGAGUGCUUUUGAGUUGAUUCUUUUUGCAGAAGAUUAAUAGACAAAUUCCUCACGUCCACCAAUUUAUUUCAUAAUUGUUGGAGUAGAAGAAGUAUGGUUAUUGUUCAGAUCAUUACAGACUGUUCUGUUUCUGACAGAUUCUGUUUUCAUUGCAUAGUUUGCUUGUUUUCUAGUUUCUAUGGCUUAUAUUUCUCAAUAUAAAUUAUAGAAAUGAUAUGGUACAGUAUGAAUUAUGUGAAAACAAUUAUGAACCUUGUCUUUUACAGUACCAAAGUGCAUGGUUUACUCUUUAUCAUACUAACCUAUCUCACGAAGUUCCAUUAACUUUUGUGUGAUUGAAGUUUUCAAGUUUUGGGUGAGAUAUCAAUAUGAGGAGAAUAAGGAGUGGGAAGACCCUAAGCUUGGGGAUGCCCAAGGCACCCCAAGGUAAUAUUCAAGGAAGUCUCAAGCGCCUAAUCUUGGGGAUUCCCCGGAAGGCAUCCCCUCUUUCGUCUUCAAAACUAUCGGUAUACCUUACUCGGAGCUAUAUUUUUAUUCGUCACAUGAUAUGUGUUUUGCUUGGAGCGUAUUUUCAAUUUUACUUGCUGUUUGAAUAAAGUCAUUGGAUCUUAAAUAUUGAAUAAAAAAGGACCCUCCCAUGGCUAGUUAAUUAUUUGAAUACUCAGUGUCCCUCACUCAUAUCUUUUGGAGUAGUUUGUCAUUUACUCAUGUGCUUCAUGUAUAUCCUAUGAGUAAAUGGGGGAAUGAAUUGAAUGCCAUAAAUCUGAAUUUCUAUAUGUUUCAUAUGCUUAUAACAUGGAUAGUAAUGACUUCACAUAUAAAGACUAUGAGGCAUAAAAGUUGUUGAGAGUUGGCGAACAUAGUUUUGGUCAUCGUUGCAAUUAAUAGGAAGUAAUAAGGAAGGAGAGGUUCACAUACAAAUAUAUUAUCUUGGACAUCUUUUAUGAUUGGGAGCACUCAUCAAGUAUGCCAUGCUAAAAGAGUUGACGUUGGACAAGGAAGACAACGUAAUGGUUUAUGUUUUCUCACAUCUUAGUUAAAGUAUAUUAUCAUUGACCGUCCAAAUAUGUUGAGCUUGCCUUUCCCCCUCAUGCUAGCCAAAUUCCUUGCACCAAGUAGAGAUACUACUUGUGCUUCCAAAUAUCCUUAAACCCAGUUUUGCCAUGAGAGUCCACCAUACCUACCUAUGGAUUGAGGAAGAUCCUUCAAGUAAGUUGUGAUGUUGGAGGCACUAAAAAUUGCUAUCUAAAUAUGUAUGACUUAUUAGUGCAGAGAAAAUAAGCUUUGUACGAUCUUGUUGUGGAAGCAAUAAAAUCGACGGACUACAUAAUAAAGGUUCACAUACAAGGGGCAAUAUAAAGUGACGUUCUUUUGCAUUAAGAUUUUAUGCAUCCAACCCUAAACGCACAUGACAACCUCUGCUUCCCUCUGCGAAGGGCCUAUCUUUUACUUUAUGUUUUUACUUUAUGCUUGAGUCAAGGUGAUCCUCACGUUUCCCUUUUUCAUUUUAUCCUUUGGCAAGCUCCUCGUGUUUGAAAGAUCAUGAUAUAUAUAUCCAAUUGGAUGUAAGUUAGCAUGGGCUAUUAUUGUUGACAUCACCUAAAGGUGAAUACGUUGGGAGGCAACACAAUAAGCCCCUAUAUUUCUCAGUGUCCGGCUAAAACUCCAUAACCACAAGUAUUGCGUGAGUGUUAGCAAUUGUAGAAGACUAUAUGAUAGUUGAGUAGGUGCACUUGCUGAAAAGCUCUAUUCUUGACUCUUUCUGAUGUUAUGAUAAAUUGCAAUUGCUUCAAUGACUGAGAUUAUAGUUUGUUAGUUCUCAAUGAAGUUUCUGAACCAUACUUGACAUUGUGAAUAGAUUGUUACUGGAUCCUGAAAAGUUUUAUGAGAUAAGCUACUAUUACACUAGUAGAAAACAUGGCAUUUGUCCCGGUUCGUAAGGGCCUUCAGUCCCGGUUCUUGAACCGGGACUAAAAGGUCGUUACUAAUGCCUCCCACCUUUAGUCCCGGUUCUUACACGAACCAGGACAGAUGGGCAUCCACGUGGCCGCUGCGGGCAGCCCAGGCAGGGGGGCCUUUGGUCCCGGUUGGUGACAUAAACCGGGACCGAUAGGCUUCCAUGCGUCAACAUUUCAGUGGCUGGUGUUUUUGUUUUUUGCUUUGAAAGGGGGGGGGGGUUAGGGGGUCAAUUUAGGUGUUUGUGUUAGCUAGCUAAUUAAUAGAGAGAAUUGUCCUCUCUUAUCUUCGUGCUUGAUCGACGCUACGUACUAUAUAUAUACGUACACGGAGGACUAGACACUCUAGCUAGCUAGUAAGCAAAUGAAGGAAAUAGAAGAUCGUCAUGAACAUAUGCAUACAGAGAGAAGUGAUAUCGACCACCUCUCCUUCUCUGAGAGAUUGGUCGAACAACAAGUUCUCGUAUAUCUAUCCGACGCAGCUGGCUACAUAUAUACAAUAUAAUUAUCUCUUACAAUAUAAUCUCCUAAUUCCAAACAAACUAAGGGUCCACAUGGUAUUCUCCGUCUUUAGCGAUCACGUGGUCAAGAAAGAAUGCCGCCAAUUCCUCUUGAAUUGCUCGCAUAUGAUCUGGUGGUAGUAGUUCAUCCCGCAUCCGAAACAUCUAAUUUGAAGAAGGGGGUCAACAUAUAUAUAUAUAUAUAUAUAUAUAUAUAUAUAUAUAUAUAUAUAUGAAUAAAUGAAACUGAACACAAGUGAUGAUAAUAAAAUAAAAUGGUGAAUAUUAUUAUUUACGCACUUCAUAUUGUUUGUCAGAGUAGCCCCGCUCACAGGUCGUGUGGCGGAUGGACUCGCAAAUGUAGUAUCCACAGUAAUCAUUCCCUUGUUCCUGCCACAACCACUUUACAAAGAAUAGAGGUCAAUCAAACCGGUAAUUAGCAAGCAUGCUAAAUGGUAUUGAUGAAACUAGCGAUUGAAUCACUAGGAGAUGCGUGGAACAUGCUACUAUAGUACUUACUUUCGGGUAUCUAAAUUGCAGCUUCUUCGGCAGUCCCGGAGUGUUUGAGGUGAAUUUUUCCCAAACCCUGCCAGAGAAAGAAAACAUUUACUUGAUAUCACGAAAUGAACAAAGUUGCUGAUAUGGUGCUAUAAUGAUCGGUUUAACUUACUUCUCUAGAAUUUCAGUCAAGUCCGUAUACUCCGCGGGAUCUUUUCGUCUCGAGUCUAAGACGGUUACUUGUCCCUACUCAAGCUUAAUCUCUAGCAGAAUAUAGUGGAACCUGCGCAAGCAUGCAUAACUCAUCUAUUACAUUACUACAACCUCGACUAAUAAGGGAUGCACAAGACAGUAACACUCACUUGACUUCGUAAGGGAAAUGUAUUAUAGCUUUGUUUUGAUUUAAUAGAAACGAUUGUAGCAGCUUGGCCUUGGUAUCUUUGGCAUGAGAUUUGACCAUAUAUACAUCUAUAAGAUUUGUGUUAACGAACCCAAUAUCACUGACUUGUCUUUUCUUCAAUUCGGCGAUCUUCAAUCUGCAUAAUUAAUAUAGUGAGGAUAAUUAAAAAUACAUGCAAUGAAAGAGCUGACGUAUAUAUAGAGACUUAAUUAAUGACAUAAGUAGUACUACUUACAGGCAGUAGCAAGUGACCAUUAAUUUAUCGAGGGCCUUUAGAUUGAAAAACGCGAAGAACUCCUCAAAUGGAACAUUCAACUAUUCAAUUCCAACGAGGUCAUGCUCCUCUCUAACUCUCAGCGUCAAAAUAUUCCUCCCCUCAGACUCUCUGCAGGUUUUCAUGUACGAAUUAUGGAAUCUGAACAUCAUCGUUGAUAGAGAUCUUUCAUCUUUGACGAGAGGCUUCCCGUACACGUAUCUGUGUUCGUCUGCCUCCAAGAAAUCAUAAUGUACAUCAUCGGGCAGGUAAUCUGCAGGAUUUUUAUAACCCGGCACCAUCCCGCCGGAUCAUUGGCGAUGCUAUCUUCGGACACCUGGAGCGGGGGGAGCGAUUGGUUCGCUUGUUCGCCGAGCUGGGCAAUUUUUUUCCCGGCUUGUCGUUCUGCUAACCUUUGAUUAGUGACUGUACUUCCAGACCGCUUCGCUUGGACAAAUAACUUUUCAAGGAUGCUCUUAUAGUUGCCUUUCGGUGGAGACUUUGGUGGUUUCCUCAGGUGUGACACCCCAAAAUUUUGGCCUUGUUUUAAGGGAAUUUUUUUUUGCCAAGGUUUAAAACUUUGAAUUUUUGAGCUCCAUUUUGAUUUUUUUAAAUCAUUUCCUUCCCUGUUAUUAUGAGCUUUUCCCAGAGAGAAAACUUUUCAAAUGUGUUAUUGGACUUGAUUAACCUCUCAAGUAAAACUUUUCCUUAUCCAGUAUAACUAAUUAACUGAUUUAGUUGCUUGAUCAUUGUUUUCUUGGAAAAUGGUUUUUUUUUGAUUAAAUGGCCUUAUUUGAACUACAACCAUUUGAUAAAUUCACUUAAAAUUCCCACAAAAAUUUGGAGAUGUCAUGUGAUGUUUUUAAAUCACUUUUAUGCUAAAAUAUAUUUCAUUCAUGAGAUAUUUUGAGCCCUACACUCAAUUUUUCUUCUCUGGUCCAGAGUGCAUUUUUGCACUACAACCUAUUUAAAUAUUUCUUUAAAACUUCUACCAAAAUUAGGGGAGAUCAGUAGGAGCCUAUUAUUUCACUUUGUGCAAAAACCUAUUUAUGUUCUUUGAAAAUUUUGAGUGAAUCAACCUCUUUUCCAUUCUGGUCCAAUUUGAGGAUUUGUACAGCAACCACCAUUUUAGUUGCUCCUAUAUCCAUGAUUAUUCCUCCUACUUGUAGUCCCCCAUGUUAAACCCUUAAGUCCAGGAGCAUGCACCUUUUGGAUCAAUUUUGGUGCAUGAAUUAAUGUCAUAUAUUUCAUGUCCAGAAUUGAAGUUUUGUAAAACUUGCACUAACAAGUUUCUGCUUUUGGCCAAAUAACCUCACCACUCUCUCUUUCAUCCAGAGAGACACUGAUCUGGAGAUUUUGGCCACUCCAAGAAAUGCCUAAGUGCCCUUGGCAUUUUGUCAAACACCUUUCGGGCAUGAUCAGUUUUGACAUGAGUCCUUGUUUGCACUAUGGACUUAAUUCCCUGGCCAGACCAGCAUGUCCAAUGGUUUUGCCUUAAGCUAUAACCCCACCCUGCUAACUUUCUUGUGGUUUGGAGCCCCCUAACAUGCCAUAGCAUUUCGUCGAGCACGUCCCGUCCGUGCACUGGACGCGCCCAGAGCGCGCAAAUUGCAGCCACGCGGCCGAGCCGACACGCUGGCCCCCACGGCUUUGGCCCCUUCUCUCAGCUACGUGCCAAGCCGCCCCUCGCCGCGCCCGGCAGGCCAAGCACUAGCCGCCGCCGCCGCCCGACAGCCCUGCGCCGUGCAGCGCCGCCCAAGCCACCCCGGCUCGCCACCUGCCCCUGUGAGCAGUGCGUGCUCAUCCGCAGCUUCGUCCCCUAGCGCUCGUCGCCGCCACGUCGCCCUAGCCACAGAGAGGCGGUUCGCCGGAGAACUUAUCCACGGCCGCCGCGGAACCGACCUCGUUGCGCUAUAAAUGGACACCCCGAGCCCCUCUGAGCACGCACGCGACCUCAGACCACCCCUAUGGCACCCCCCUAGCUCGCAUUCGACCCGGGGAGGCCUCCUUCCUCAUCUCCGGCAACUCCUGCCGCCGCCACCGCCCCGACCAAUCCGGCACCUCCAGUAUCUCUCCCUCUCCAUUCUCUCCACCAAGAACCUCCUCAUCCUCCCGUGAGCCUUUUCCCCUACUUGAUUUUGAUCGGGAGCCAACGCCGCCACAAAGUCACUUCGCCACCGAAGCCUUCCUCCGCCGCGGAGCUCGCCCCGUCCCCGCCGACCCAACGACUACCGGGAGGACCGCCCCAACCUUGCGGAUCCAUCCCCACCCUCGGGGCCCCGCGAGGAGCAGCCAAACGCCGGCGACGAUCGCCGGAGCCCCGCUCCGCUCGGGCAAAGGAAGGAGACGACGCGCGGCGACUGGUCAAACCUGACCAGUGGGCCAGGCAGGCCCACUGUCAGUGACACCCCGCGCCGUCCGCGUGGUUAAGUGGAGGCGUAAAGCCUCAAGUACGCCUCCUCUGUACCGAAAGCGUAAUCUCGUCUGAAUCGUUUUAUUUUCUGUUUUAAUUUAAAUAACAGAUUUGACCAAAUCUUUGACUGGCUAUAACUUUUUAAAUAUAACUCCAAAUGAGUUGAUUCUUUUUCCUACCUUCCUCAUAUUUGAUCUAGUUUAUUUUAAGAUUUAUUUGAAAAUUUUUCAAACAACUUUUUGGUUCUGUUCUUGAAAUGUGUGUUAAUUCAAAUAUAUUUUUAAAUAGGAUUUUGGGAGAGAGAAGAAACUUUCAAAAGUUUUGGAGUGCACCCUGCCUUUCCACACAUUGAAGGCAAGCAUUCUGAACCCCAGCAUAAUAUUUUGGUGUGAUCGUUGAUACCUUUAUAACACCACCGCAUUUCAAAGGACUUGUUAUUUCAUGUGAUAUGAUCAUAUGCAUGGGUGCAUGUUGUUGAUUUCCAUGCUGUUGGAAACAGACACACUUGUGAUGAUAAUCACCCUCUUAUGCCUUGCAUGCAUACCGGCAGGAACCCGGGAAAAACCUCUGCCUUGGGUAGGCUUGAGUUUGUCGCCGGUCUCCGUCGGGACGGUUAUGUCUGGUAUGGCAUGGUAAGGUGAUAUGAGAGGUGACUCUGUUGGAUGAGAAUAUAUUUGUCAUGCUAAUCAUGCAGGGAAUACUUGAACCCCCUGAGUCGACCGUAGAUCGAGUCUUGUUCCAGUAACCACCAUACUUGUUUCGUACUACCACUCGUCUCUACAGCAAGUAGAGUACGGUUCUGUAAGUUUUCAACCUCUUUCCAGCACACACCGUACAGAGAGGCCAUGGUGGAAGAUACCGGUUGUAGCUGGUAGGCAGGCCACCUGGUCCGGGGGCAUGGGUGUUUCCGGUUGGGACCGAGAGGGGAGGCCACCCCUUAGAGCGCGCGAUAUAAAUUUGAUCCCAUGCUACGCGAGGUUGUAGCCUCCCCACUUAAAGUUUGCUUAACAGGUGUCGUGGGUGAUUCCAGACACGUGUGAGAUAAGCUGGUGUGUGCAAGUUAGGUGUGUUUUCAACAGAAAGACCGUAGACGGAAUUAGUCCUGCUGGACUAGAGAAAUCCGUUACUCGUGGGUAAAGAGUACACCCUCUGCAGAGAAUAAACCAAUUCGAAUAGCCGUGUCCAUGGUUAAGGAUUACAGUCUGGGAUGGGUCAAGUGUCGGUCUUAGCGUCGGUCUUCGGAGGUGAAACUGUUAAUCCAGAAAUGGAAUUACUACUUGUGACUUGUGAUAACUAUGAUUAUUAUUAUUGUUGACUAACCCAUGAUAUUAUUGUUAUUAUCGUGUAUCUCUGGGAUGGUUCUACCUCCGGGAUAUUCACUAUGAUUGUUUCUUUUAAAGCCCUUUAUGUGGCGUCGCUCAGACGCCCGACUGUGGCAUUUCUUUUAAAGCCCUUUAUGUGGCGUCGCUCAGACGCCCGACUGUGGCAUUUCUUUUAAAGCCCUUUUUGUGGCGUCGCUCAGACGCCCGACUGUGGCAUUUCUUUUAAAGCCCUUUUUGUGGCGUCGCUCAGACGCCCGGCUGUGGCAUUUCUUUUAAAGCCCUUUAUGUGGCGUAGCUCAGACGCCCGACUGUGGCAUUUCUUUUAAAGCCCUUUAUGUGGCAUCGCUCAGACGCCCNNNNNNNNNNAGUCUGGGAUGGGUCAAGUGUCGGUCUUAGCGUCGGUCUUCGGAGGUGAAACUGUUAAUCCAGAAAUGGAAUUACUACUUGUGACUUGUGAUAACUAUGAUUAUUAUUAUUGUUGACUAACCCAUGAUAUUAUUGUUAUUAUCGUGUAUCUCUGGGAUGGUUCUACCUCCGGGAUAUUCACUAUGAUUGUUUCUUUUAAAGCCCUUUAUGUGGCGUCGCUCAGACGCCCGACUGUGGCAUUUCUUUUAAAGCCCUUUAUGUGGCGUCGCUCAGACGCCCGACUGUGGCAUUUCUUUUAAAGCCCUUUUUGUGGCGUCGCUCAGACGCCCGGCUGUGGCAUUUCUUUUAAAGCCCUUUAUGUGGCGUAGCUCAGACGCCCGACUGUGGCAUUUCUUUUAAAGCCCUUUAUGUGGCAUCGCUCAGACGCCCGACUGUGGCAUUACUUGUUAUUUAUUUCAUAAAUUUUUUUAUACUACCAUGUUAUUGCAAUUUAUUAAAUAACUUGCUUGCACGCAUCCGAGAUUUAUUUAUCUUUUGUGACUGACGUCAUGAGCAUAAAAUACUCUUCAGCACAUCAUUGUUAUAUUAUACCUGUGUUCAUAAUGUUUGCGAGUACAUUCAAAGUACUCACUGGCUUGUCCCUGACUAUUGUCUUGGCCAGAUUUUACUUGCUCGGAGAGGAGCGACGCGAUGCCAGCCCCGGAAACCACCCAAUGGAGAUAGCAGCCUUGCGAAGAUAGGAACUUAACCUGGUCAGCUGUUCCCGUGGGAAAUGGAGUCCCAUAGACACUGGUGUUCACAACCCGCUUCCGCCAUCAACCACUAGAAACCAUUUGUUGUACUCACAGGCCAGAAUGGUCUUGUACUACAUAUUUUGUAUUUUUGCUUCGAGUUUCUGUAUCAAGUUGGAGCCUCAUUAGCUAACAGUAAUCCUGGGGCUGAUGAGCACGACGGUCUUUUCUGGAAAUUUAUUACCCGGAAAACCGGUCGUGACAGACUUGGUAUCAGAGCCAGGCUGACCAUUGGCUAAUCCUAUCUUAGCCAGGUCAAUAAACAUAGGCAAACCAACCCACCAGACCUUAACCAAACCCCAGCCAAGCUUCUCGUGCAAGAUAGCCACACAGUGACCCAACUCCUUUUUACAGUCGGUGCCCAACCUAUCCACCAAACCUGUCACUCAUGCGCCAGUGACCGGCCCCUAAAUAGUCCUUUCUCACAAGCAUGCGAAGGAAGAUUCCGUCCCCUUUUUCCUAUAAAAAAGGCGCGCUAGCACCAAACCAGCACAGCACAGCCGCUACCCCAAACCGAGCCAUAAUGCCUGGACCUAUAGUGCACAACGAAACCACAGCAACCAACCUUGGAGGUUUUGUGACCAUCCUCGCAAACCUCACCCGUCGUGCCUACGCGUUAGAGGAGCCACCAGAAUAUGUUGUGUAUCAAGGACCCAUGAGCGGUGAAGACCGCCAAUUAUGGGCCACUGUGCACAUUUACGGUAGGAGUCUAGCACCCGAGCGCCCCUACCGGUUCACCGGAAGAACAACAUCCUUUGAGCCACAAGCCAUCCAGCUAGCCGCUCGAGGGGCUAUAGUUCAUAUCAGGCACUUGUCGCCCAGAGUUAACUGUCGCUCGUUCCACUACUACCCCAUACGAGAAGGGUAUGGUAGACCACCCCAAGUUGCCAAUGGAGAUCACGAGACGGACCCCGCAUUAUUGCACCUAGUGCGCUAUGUAAGUGCACUAGAGGCACUGUUCGACCAGAUCACUAUUGAUCUAAUGGCAGCUCGUGGAGAGCUGGUUCGUCGAGCCCCGGCGAGAGAAGAAAACGAGCCCAACACCGACAACCUAGUAGUGCUGUUUGGACAACCGAUCGAGACCCCGAGAUCUGCCCCAGCCAUCGGCCAAGGUGCUGCGAUAACCCCAGAAGUGCUUCGUCGCAUAUUGGGAGCACACUCCAACGGGGUUGUGGCCAACAAUCCCCGCGAUGGUCAUUCUCACUACCCCGACCCUGCAGUUCCUCCGCCAUCUCCGACUAAUCCCGGCAGAGAGACACGUGGAGAAGCCUCGACAUCCACCAGGCACGCCCGUUUAGACAUAAACGAGGUAGACUAAGCCGUAUGAGUAGCACCAAGUUUCAAUGUAUCCUCGCUUUGUAAUCUUCCGACCGCGUAUAUUAACGCAGCCUGUCUUUGUGCCUCUAUUUUGAUAAUAGCCUUGCAUAUUUGGUCAGCGCAUAGCUGCAUAUUUUUUUGGGCACAACUACCAAAACCAUCCCGACGACAACCAUAGUAACACGUCUCUUUAUGAGAUAUGUGUAUCUCUGACACCGACCCGACCUUUGGAACUAAGCUGGAUUUUUUUUACCUCUCACCACGGUGAAACGAUCCGGCUCCAUUGCUAUAUAAAGGCCACCUUGUGACCUUACCCAGCAACCCUCACUUUGUGCACAACACUCACGCUUUUUCCUGUCAUGCCGAACCCCAGCAUUCAUCUGAGAACCCCAGAUGCAACUCCAGGUAGCUUUGUCAAAAUAUUGUGGGAUUUUACCCGCAGUACCAUGGGUUCUACCCAGCCACCCCAGUACGAGCUGUUCAAAUCGAGGAUCACCCCAUCCACCUCGGAAUAUUGGGCAGCAGUACACAUUCCUCCUGUAGACCCCAACCAAGAUCCAACGGAAGUUUCCUUCGUGGGGAAAAUCUAUGCCAACCCCACACUUGGCCAUAGAAGCUGCUGCGAAAGAAGCAAUUGCUCUUCUUCGAUCCGCAGUACCCUAUGCCCGCGAACGAGGAUAUUAUUACUUUCCGAGCCGUGCAGCACCUGGAGAAGUUACAUCUUUUCCCGGUGGACGUAUUGAGAGAGACCCAGUUCUGGCCAACCUUAUCCAGUACAUAAUUGCUCAAGAGCAUUUAAACCAGCGAGUGAUGGAUUAUCUCCAGAGCCUCGCAGAUUUAAAUCCUCAGAUUGCCAUCGGCAGACCACUAAGACCCGACAUGGAGAGACGCAUACAUCGACUGGUCAAUCCACUGCCUCCGAUUGAAGAAGAAUGUAUCCCUUUACAAGAGACAUUUUAUCAGGACCCCGUCCAGUUACCGUUUUCAUUUUAGACGUCGCUACUGUAUUUGUUUUUUUUGCAGCAUUUAUAUUUAUGUGUGUGACUUAUGCGUAAUACCCUGAGUUUGUACGACGAGUCAAUUAUUUGGCUUCUGCUAAUGUGUGUAGUUUUUGUUGUGGUUUAUGCUCUUUUAAAUUAACUGUUUUUUCCUCGCAAAACCCUGGAGUGAGAUUUUCUUUUCCCUGAGUUGCUACAUCUACACUUUCUCACGAUGUGGAUUAAUUAAUUUCACACAGCACCACGCUGCAGACUCACAACCAUAAUCAUUCGGACACAUACACUGUUUGCAAAACUUUGCAACGGUGUUACAUCCAGCUAAUCACCCCCCUAACAACAGUUAGCACCCGGCACACUCCAUCUACUCCUCAUGAUCACCACCACCGCGGAGAACCAACACCCGAGCCGCAGCAUCGCGAUACUCGUCGAAGAUUAUCGCGCACAGGAGCACAGAGAGCCCCAGCAGCGUCGCCAGCCCUCCGCAUAUCAGGAUCACAAACCAGUCCGGCAUCGCCUCCGCCAUUUGAGCCUCGACCGAGCUUCUGUAAGCAGUAAUGGAGAAAGAAGGAGGAGGAGAAGUGAGGCCUGGUGUGAUGAAGAAGAGAGUGGCACCCCGGCCGUUUUUAUAGCUCGAGUUCGGUGUACGGUGGGCGAAGUCCACCAACACCGCUCGUCGCCGAUCGCCGGUGUUCGGAGUCGAAUCCGCGAGCAGUGCCGACAGCGCGCUGGCCCGCGAGGUGAGUGCACGCUGCACCGGCAGCUAGCACGCCACGCACUACCACGGUACGACCUAGAUGCCCUACACACUAGGCGUCGCCGGUGGAGAAAGCGCGCGGGAGAGAGGAGGAAGAAAGGGCCAGAGGGAGAAGAAGAGGAGACUGACAGUGGACUCCGGGUCCACCUGUCGGCCAGAGAGAGCACUAUGCUCUCAGGUACGACCAGCGUAUAUCUAAAUUUAGGAGUUAUCCUAAAUUUAUAUCCAGCGUAGAAAUCACCCGUUUUGUCCCGAACCGUAGACUUUUCCGCGCAGCCCUAGUUUUUCACACUGUGGUUUUUCACCACUUAUUGCCCUCUCACUGUAGCUACAUCGUCAUUGCAUAAUUAUUUUCUUAACACCACUUUUAGCAAAUCUCGAGGACGAGAUUUUUCUUAAAGGGGUUAGUAUUGUGACACCCCAAAAUUUUGGCCUUGUUUUAAGGGAAUUUUUUUUUGCCAAGGUUUAAAACUUUGAAUUUUUUAGCUCCAUUUUGAUUUUUUUAAAUCAUUUCCUUCCCUGUUAUUAUGAGCUUUUCCCAGAGAGAAAACUUUUCAAAUGUGUUAUUGGACUUGAUUAACCUCUCAAGUAAAACUUUUCCUUAUCCAGUAUAACUAAUUAACUGAUUUAGUUGCUUGAUCAUUGUUUUCUUGGAAAAUGUUUUUUUUGAUUAAAUGGCCUUAUUUGAACUACAACCAUUUGAUAAAUUCACUUAAAAUUCCCACAAAAAUUUGGAGAUGUCAUGUGAUGUUUUUAAAUCACCUUUAUGCUAAAAUAUAUUUCAUUCAUGAGAUAUUUUGAGCCCUACACUCAAUUUUUCUUCUCUGGUCCAGAGUGCAUUUUUGCACUACAACCUAUUUAAAUAUUUCUUUAAAACUUCUACCAAAAUUAGGGGAGAUCAGUAGGAGCCUAUUAUUUCACUUUGUGCAAAAACCUAUUUAUGUUCUUUGAAAAUUUUGAGUGAAUCAACCUCUUUUCCAUUCUGGUCCAAUUUGAGGAUUUGUACAGCAACCACCAUUUUAGUUGCUCCUAUAUCCAUGAUUAUUCCUCCUACUUGUAGUCCCCCAUGUUAAACCCUUAAGUCCAGGAGCAUGCACCUUUUGGAUCAAUUUUGGUGCAUGAAUUAAUGUCAUAUAUUUCAUGUCCAGAAUUGAAGUUUUGUAAAACUUACACUAACAAGUUUCUGCUUUUGGCAAAAUAACCUCACCACUCUCUCUUUCAUCCACAGAGACGCUGAUCUGGAGAUUUUGGCCACUCCAAGAAAUGCCUAAGUGCCCUUGGCAUUUUGUCAAACACCUUUCGGGCAUGAUCAAUUUUGACAUGAGUCCUUGUUUGCACUAUGGACUUAAUUCCCUGGCCAGACCAACAUGUCCAAUGGUUUUGCCUUAAGCUAUAACCCCACCCUGCUAACUUUCUUGUGGUUUGGAGCCCCCUAACAUGCCAUAGCAUUUCGUCGAGCACGUCCCGUGCGUGCACUGGACGCGCCCAGAGCGCGCAAAUUGCAGCCACGCGGCCGAGCCGACACGCUGCCCCCCACGGCUUUGGCCCGCUCUACAGAACCUCGCCACGCGCGCCCCUUCUCUCAGCUAUGCGCCAAGCCGCCCCUCGCCGCGCCCAGCAGGCCAAGCACUAGCCGCCGCCGCCGCCCGAUAGCCCUGCGCCGUGCAGCGCCGCCCAAGCCACCCCGGCUCGCCACCUGCCCCUGUGAGCAGUGCGUGCUCAUCCGCAGCUUCGUCCCCUAGCGCUCGUCGCCGCCACGUCGCCCUAGCCACAGAGAGGCGGUUCGCCGGAGAACUUAUCCACAGCCGCCGCGGAACCGACCUCGUCGCGCUAUAAAUGGACACCCCGAGCCCCUCUGAGCACGCACGUGACCUCAGACCACCCCUAUGGCACCCCCCCUAGCUCGCAUUCGACCCGGGGAGGCCUCCUUCCUCAUCUCUGGCAACUCCUGCCGCCGCCACCGCCCCGGCCAAUCCGGCACCUCCAGUAUCUCUCCCUCUCCAUUCUCUCCACCAAGAACCUCCUCAUCCUCCCGUGAUCCUUUUCCCCUACUUGAUUUUGAUCGGGAGCCAACGCCGCCACAAAGUCACUUCGCCACCGAAGCCUUCCUCCGCCGCGGAGCUCGCCGCCGGCAGCUCACCCCGUCCCCGCCGACCCAACGACUACCGGGAGGACCGCCCCAACCUUGCGGAUCCAUCCCCACCCUCGGGGGCCCGCGAGGAGCAGCCAAACGCCGGCGACGAUCGCCGGAGCCCCGCUCCGCUCGGGCAAAGGAAGGAGACGACGCGCGGCGACUGGUCAAACCUGACCAGUGGGCCAGGCAGGCCCACUGUCAGUGACACCCCGCGCCGUCCGCGUGGUUAAGUGGAGGCGUAAAGCCUCAUGUACGCCUCCUCUGUACCGAAAGCGUAAUCUCGUCUGAAUCGUUUUAUUUUCUGUUUUAAUUUAAAUAACAGAUUUGACCAAAUCUUUGACUGGCUAUAACUUUUUAAAUAUAACUCCAAAUGAGUUGAUUCUUUUUCCUACCUUCCUCAUAUUUGAUCUAGUUGAUUUUAAGAUUUAUUUGAAAAUUUUUCAAACAACUUUUUGGUUCUGUUCUUGAAAUGUGUGUUAAUUCAAAUAUAUUUUUAAAUAGGAUUUUGGGAGAGAGAAGAAACUUUCAAAAGUUUUGGAGUGCACCCUGCCUUUCCACACAUUGAAGGCAAGCAUUCUGAACCCCGGCAUAAUAUUUUGGUGUGAUCGUUGAUACCUUUAUAACACCACCGCAUUUCGAAGGACUUGUUAUUUCAUGUGAUAUGAUCAUAUGCAUGGGUGCAUGUUGUUGAUUUCCAUGCUGUUGGAAACGGACACACUUGUAAUGAUAAUCACCCUCUUAUGCCUUGCAUGCAUACCGGCAGGAACCCGGGAAAACCUCUGCCUUGGGUAGGCUUGAGUUUGUCGCCGGUCUCCGUCGGGACGGUUAUGUCUGGUAUGGCAUGGUAAGGUGAUAUGAGAGGUGACUCUGUUGGAUGAGAAUAUAUUUGUCAUGCUAAUCAUGCAGGGAAUACUUGAACCCCCUGAGUCGAUCGUAGAUCGAGUCUUGUUCCAGUAACCCCCAUACUUGUUUCGUACUACCACUCGUCUCUACAGCAAGUGGAGUACGGUUCAGUAAGUUGUCAACCUCUUUCCAGCACACACCGUACAGAGAGGCCAUGGUGGAAGAUACCGGUUGUAGCUGGUAGGCAGGCCACCUGGUCCGGGGGCAUGGGUGUUUCCGGUUGGGACCGAGAGGGGAGGCCACCCCUUAGAGCGCGCGAUAUAAAUUUGAUCCCAUGCUACGCGAGGUUGUAGCCUCCCCACUUAAAGUUUGCUUAACAGGUGUCGUGGGUGAUUCUAGACACGUGUGAGAUAAGCUGGUGUGUUCAAGUUAGGUGUGUUUUCAACAGAAAGACCGUAGACGGAAUUAGUCCUGCUGGACUAGAGAAAUCCGUUACUCGUGGGUAAAGAGUACACCCUCUGCAGAGAAUAAACCAAUUCGAAUAGCCGUGUCCAUGGUUAAGGAUUAUAGUCUGGGAUGGGUCAAGUGUCGGUCUUAGCGUCGGUCUUCGGAGGUGAAACUGUUAAUCCAGAAAUGGAAUUACUACUUGUGACUUGUGAUAACUAUGAUUAUUAUUAUUGUUGACUAACCCAUGAUAUUAUUGUUAUUAUCGUGUAUCUCUGGGAUGGUUCUACCUCCGGGAUAUUCACUAUGAUUGUUUCUUUUAAAGCCCUUUAUGUGGCGUCGCUCAGACGCCCGACUGUGGCAUUUCUUUUAAAGCCCUUUAUGUGGCGUCGCUCAGACGCCCGACUGUGGCAUUUCUUUUAAAGCCCUUUUUGUGGCGUCGCUCAGACGCCCGACUGUGGCAUUUCUUUAAAGCCCUUUUUGUGGCAUCGCUCAGACGCCCGACUGUGGCAUUUCUUUUAAAGCCCUUUAUGUGGCGUCGCUCAGACGCCCGACUGUGGCAUUUCUUUUAAAGCCCUUUGUGUGGCGUCGCUCAGACGCCCGACUGUGGCAUUACUUGUUAUUUAUUUCAUAAAUUUUUUUAUACUACCAUGUUAUUGCAAUUUAUUAAAUAACUUGCUUGCACGCAUCCGAGAUUUAUUUAUCUUUUGUGACUGACGUCAUGAGCAUAAAAUACUUUUCAGCACAUCAUUGUUAUAUUAUACCUGUGUUCAUAAUGUUUGCGAGUACAUUCAAAGUACUCACUGGCUUGUCCCUGGCUAUUGUCUUGGCCAGAUUUUACUUGCUCGGAGAGGAGCGACGCGAUGCCAGCCGCGGAAACCACCCAAUGGAGAUAGCAGCCUCGCGAAGAUAGGAACUUAACCUGGUCAGCUGUUCCUGUGGGAAAUGGAGUCCCAUAGACACUGGUAUUCACAACCCGCUUCCGCCAUCAACCACUAGAAACCAUUUGUUGUACUCACAGGCUAGAAUGGUCUUGUACUACAUAUUUUGUAUUUUUGCUUGGAGUUUCUGUAUCAAGUUGGAGCCUCAUCAGCUAACAGUAAUCCUGGGGCUGAUGAGCAUGAUGGUCUUUUCUGGAAAUUUAUUACCCGGAAAACCGGUCGUGACAUCAGGGCAGCCAGAGUACGCUUCACUUUCACCGGAUCUAUCUUCUCCUCCGGAGGUGGAUGUCUAUGCACUUUCAACCCUUCAAAGAAGUCCUUCACUUCGGUCCGCACGAUCUUCUUGUUUUCCUCCACGGUCAUCUCGUACGGUAACUUCUCUAGAGGCCUGAGAGGUGGACCGUAUCUGUAUUGCCUCCCGCCUCUGGCUGUACUGCUAGACGCCGGAGCAGACGGAGCGGCUGCGGCUGUCUUUUUUCGUGCUUGCUUACGAGGCAGAGGAGAAGGACUACCACGCGCUGGAGAAGCCGGGGCGGCGACGAGUCUCUUCCGCCCUUGCUGGCGAGGCGGAGAAGGAGGAGGUUGCAGGCUGCUCGGGCGCGCCGGUGCAGGCGGAGAAGGAGGCGGAGAAGGAGGAGGCUGCUGGCUGCUCGGGCACACCGGCGCAGGCGGAGAAGGAGGCGGAGUGCCGCGACGCGCCGGAGAGGGAGGCCGACUGCGCUGUUCGUCACUCGCCGGAGGAGGAGGCAAUGCAGGAGGCAGAGUGUCCUGACUCACUGCUACGUGUUGAGCUAGCGUUGGUUUUCCCCGAAGAGGAGAGGGUGAUGCAGCAAAGUGUAGCGUAAGUAUUUCCCUCAGUUUUGAGAACCAAGGUAUCAAUCCAGUAGGAAGCUCCUCAAAAGUCCCACGCACCUACACAAACAAACUGAGAACUCGCAACCAACACAAUAAAGGGGUUGUCAAUCCCUUCACGGUCACUUACGAAAGUGAGAUCUGACAGAGAAAGUAUGAUAAGAUAAAUAUAUUUUUGGUAUUUAAUAAUAUAGAUGCAGAAAAGUAAAGAUGCAAAUAAAAGUAGAUUGAAAGCAAAUAUGAUAAGAGAUAGACCCGGGGGCCAUAGGUUUCACUAGAGGCUUCUCUUGAGAGUAUAAGUAUUACGGUGGGUGAACAAAUUACUGUCAAGCAAUUGAUAGAAAAGCGAAUAAUUAUGACGUUAUUUAGGCAUGAUCAUGUAUAUAGGCAUCACGUCCAUAACAAGUAGGCCGACUCCUGCCUGCAUCUACUACUAUUACUCCACACAUCGACCGCUAUCCAGCAUGCAUCUAGAGUAUUAAGUUCAUAAGAACGGAGCAAUGCAUUAAGCAAGAUGACAUGAGUAGAGGAAUAACUCAUGCAAUAUGACAUAAACCCCAUCUUGUUAUCCUCGAUGGCAACAAUACAAUACGUGUCUUGCAACCCUUUCUGUCACUGGGUAAGAUGACUGCAAGAUUGAACCCAAAGCUAAACACUUCUCCCAUGGCAAGAAAGAUCAAUCUAGUAGGCCAAACCAAACUGAUAAUUCGAAGAGACUUGUAAAGAUAACUCAAUCAUACAUAAAAGAAUUCAGAGAAGAUUCCAAUAUUAUUCAUAGAUAAACUUGAUCAUAAACCCACAAUUCAUCGGAUCUCGACAAACACACCGCAAAAAGAGAUUACAUCGAAUAGAUCUCCACAAGAGAGGGGGAGAACAUUGUAUUGAGAUCCAAAAAGAGAGAAGAAGCCAUCUAGCUAAUAACUAUGGACCCGUAGGUCUGUGGUAAACUACUCACAACUCAUCGGAGAGGCUAUGGUGUUGAUGUAGAAGCCCUCCGUGAUCGAUUCCCCCUCCGGCAGAGUGCCGGCGAAGGCUCCAAGAUGUAAUCUUGCGGAUACAGAAGGUUACAACGGUGGAAAUUGUGUUUCAUGGUGCUCCUGGAUGUUUUCGGGGUCCGUGGAUAUAUAUAGGAGAAAGAAGUACGUCGGUGGACGCCCGAGGGGCCCACGAGACAGGGGGGCGCGCCCCUAGGGGGGGGGACACGCCCUCCUAUCUCGUGGGGCCCUCGGAGAUUUCUUGACUUGCACUCCAGGCUCUCCGGAUCAGAUUUGUUCCAAAAAUAACGCUCCCGAAGGUUUCAUUCCGUUUGGACUCCGUUUGAUAUUCCUUUUCUUCGAAAUACAGAAAUAGGCAAAAAAAAAACAGCAAUAUGGGCUGGGCCUCCGGUUAGUAGGUUAGUCCCAAAAAUGAUAUAAAUGUGUCGAAUAAAGCCCAUAAACAUCCAAAAGAGGUAAUAUAAUAGCGUGGAACAAUCAAAAAUUAUAGAUACGUUGGAGACGUAUCAAGCAUCCCCAAGCUUAAUUCCUACUCGUCCUCGAGUAGGUAAAUGAUAAAAAGAGAAUUUUUGAUGUGGAAUGCUACCUAGCAUAAUUCAUAAUGUAAUUUUCUUUCAUUGUGGCAUGAAUGUUCAGAUCCAAAUAAUACAAAAUAAAAGUUCAUAAAGACAUAAGAAAUAGUAAUACUUCAAGCAUAAUAGUCAAGGUAAUCAUGUCUUCUCAAAAUAACAUGGCUAAAGAAAGUUAUCCCUACAAAAUCAUAUAGACUGGCUAUGCUCUAUCUUCAUCACACAAAGUAUUUAAUCAUGCACAACCCCGAUGACGAGCAAAGCAAUUGUUUCAUACUUUAAUAAUCUCAAACUCUUUCAACUUUCACGCAAUACAUGAGCGUGAGCAAUGGAUAUAGCACUAUAUGUGGAAUAGAAUGGUGGUUGCGGAGAAGACAAAAAGGAGAAGAUAGUCUCACAUCAACUAGGCGUUGUUGGGGAACGUAGCAGAAAUUCAAAUUUUUCCUACGAGUCACCAAGAUCUAUCUAUGGAGAGACUAGCAACGAGGGGAAGGAGAGUGCAUCUACAUACCCUUGUAGAUCGCUAAGCGGAAGCGUUCAAGAGAACGGGGUUGAAGGAGUCGUACUCGUCGUGAUCCAAAUCACCGGAGAUCCUAGUGCCGAACGGACGGCACCUGCGCGUUCAACACACGUACAGCCCGGUGACGUCUCCCAUGCCUUGAUCCAGCAAGGAUAGAGGGAGAGGUUGAGGAAGACUCCACCCAGCAGCAUCACAACGGCGUGGUGGUGAUGGAGGAGUGUGGCAAUCCUGCAGGGCUUCGCCAAGCACCGCGGGAGAGGAGGAGUACUUGGGAGAGGGGGAGGGCUGCGCCAGAACUUGGGGUGCGGCUGCCCUCCCACCCCUCCACUAUUUAUAGGGGGGGAGAGAAGGGGUCCGGCCCCCCUAGAUCCCAUCUAGGGUUGGGGGCGGCGGCCAAGGGGGGGAGGAGUGCCUCCCCCUUAGGGUUUCCCCUCUCCCAUGCGCAUGGGCCUUGGGGGGCUAGUGCCCCUGGCCCAUUAAGACUAGGGGGCCCCCUUACAGCCUAUAACACUGUAUUGGACGUGGUGGAACAAUUUCCGGACCUCCGAACCCCUCCGGAAUCCUCUGGAACCUUCUGGAAGCUUCCCGGUACAAUACCAGAAAAACCCGAACUUUUCCCGGAACCCGGACAACAACUUUCCAUAUAUAAAUCUUUACCUCCGGACCAUUCCGGAACUCCUCGUGACGUCCGGGAUCUCAUCCGGGACUCCGAACAACAUUCAGUAACCACGUAUAUCUAUUCCCUAUAACGCUAGCAUCAUCGAACCUUAAUUGUGUAGACCCUACAGGUUCGGGAACCAUGCAGACAUGACCGGGACGUUCUCUGGUCAAUAACCAACAGCGGGAUCUGGAUACCCAUGUUGGAUCCCACAUGUUCCACGAUGAUCUCAUCGGAUGAACCACGAUGUCAAGGACUCAAUCGAUCCCGUAUACAAUUCCCUUUGUCUAGCGGUAUUAUACUUGCCCGAGAUGCGAUCGUCGGUAUCCCGAUACCUUGUUCAAUCUCGUUACCGGCAAGUCUCUUUACUCGUUCCGUAACACACCAUCUCGUGAUCCUAGUGCCCAGAGAUACCUCUCCGUCACACGGAGUGACAAAUCCCAGUCUCAAUUUGUGCCAACCCAAGAGACACUUUUGGAGAUACCCGUAGUGUACCUUUAUAGCCACCCAGUUACGUUGUGAUGUUUGGUACACCCAAAGCAUUCCUACGGUAUCCGGGAGUUGCACAAUCUCAUGGUCUAAGGAAAUGAUACUUGACAUUAGAAAAGCUUUAGCAUACGAACUACACGAUCUUUGUGCUAGGCUUAGGAUUGGGUCUUGUCCAUCACAUCAUUCUCCUAAUGAUGUGAUCCCAUUAUCAACGACAUCCAAUGUCCAUGGUCAGGAAACCGUAACCAUCUAUUGAUUAACGAGCUAGUCAUCUAGAGGCUUACUAGGGACUUGGUGUUGUCUAUGUACCCACACAUGUAUCUGAGUUUCCUAUCAAUACAAUUAUAGCAUGGAUAAUAAACGAUUAUCAUGAAUAAGGAAAUAUAAUAAUAAUAACUAAUUUAUUAUUGCCUCUAGGGCAUAUUUCCAACAGUCUCCCACUUGCACUAGAGUCAAUAAUCUAGUUCACAUCGCCAUGUGAUUAACAUUGACAGGUCACAUCGCUAUGUGACCAACAUCCAAAGAGUUUACUAGUGUUACUAAACUAGUUCACAUCACCAUGUGAUUAAGACUCAAUGAGUUCUAGGGUUUGAUCAUGUUUUUCUUGUGAGAGAGGUUUUAGUCAACGGGUCUGCAACAUUCAGAUCCGUAUGUAUUUCACAAUUCUCUAUGUCAUAUUGUAAAAGCUGCUUCCACGCUCCACUUGGAGCUAUUCCAAAUGGUUGCUCCACUAUACGUAUCCGGUUUGCUACUCAGAGUCAUUCAGAUAGGUGUUAAAGCUUGCAUCGACGUAACCCUUUACACCGAACUCUUUAUCACCUCCAUAAUUACUCCAAGGACAAUUUUGACUGUUGCCAAUGAUCCAUUCCUGGAUCAUUCUUGUACCCCUUGACUGACUCAUGGGAAGGCACACUUCCGGUGCGGUACAGCAUAGCAUACUAUAGAGCCUACGUCUGAAGCAUAGGGGACGACCUUCGUCCUUUCUCUCUCUUCUGCCGUGGUCGAGCUUUAACUCUUAACUUCAUACCUUACAACUCAUGCAAGAACUCCUUCUUUGACUGAUCCAUCUUGAACACCUUCAAGAUCAUGUCAAGGUAUGUGCUCAUUUGAAAGUACCAUUUAGCAUUUUUGAUCUAUCCUCAUAGAUCUUGAUGCUCAAUUUUCAAGCAGCUUAUUCUAGGUUUUCUAUUGAAAAACACUUUUCAAAUAACCCUAUAUGCUUUCCAGAAAUUCUACAUCAUUUCUGAUCAACAACACAUACUCAUCAGAAAUUCUAUAGUGCUCCCACUCACUUCUUUGGAAAUACAAGUUUCUCAUAAACUUUGUAUAAACCCAAAAUCUUUGAUCAUCUCAUCAAAGCAUACAUUCCAACUCCGAGAUGCUUACUCCAGUCCUUAGAAGGAUUGCUGGAGCUUUGCAUAUUUGUUAGCGUUCUUCAGGAUUGACAAAACCUUCUAGUUGUAUCACAUACAACCUUUCCUCAAGGAUAUCAUCGAGGAAACAAUGUUUUGACAUCCUAUCUGCAAGAUUUCAUAAAUCAUGCAGUAAUUGCUAAUAUAAUUCCAACAGACUCUUAGCAUCGCUACGAGUGAGAAAGUCUCAUCGUAGUCAACUCCUUGAACUUGUCGGAAAACAUCUUAACGACAAGUCGAGCUUUCUUAAUGGAGAUACUUACCAUCAUUGUCUGUCUUCCUUUUAAAAUCCAUCUGUACCCAAUGGCCUUACGACCAUCAAGUAUUUCUUCCAAAGUCAUGGAUCCUCUCUCGGAUUUUAUGUCUUGAGCCAUUCAUCGGAAUCCGGGCCCACCAUCGCUUCUCCAUAGCUCGUAGGUUCAUUGUUUUCUAGCAACAUGACCUCUAAGACAGGAUUGCGUACAACUCUGAAGUAGUACGCGUCCUUGUCGACCUACGAGGUCUGGUAGUGACUUGAUCCGAAGCAUCAUGAUCACUAUCAUCAGCUUCCACUUCAAUUGGUGUAGGUGCCACAUGAACAACUUCCUGUGCCCUGCUACUCACUAGUUGAAGUGAUGGUUCAAUAACCUCAUCAAGUAUCCACCAUCCUCCCACUCAAUUCUUUUGAGAGAAAAUUUUCCUCAAGAAAGGACCCGUUUCUAGAAACAAUUACUUUUGCUUCCGGAUCUGAGAUAGGAGGUAUACCCAACUGUUUUGGGUGUCCUAUGAAGAUGCAUUUUUAUCUGCUUUGGGUUCGAGCUCAUCAACCUGAAACUUUUUCACAUAAGCGUCGCAGCCCCAAACUUUUAAGAAAUGACAACUUAGGUUUCUCCAAACCAUAGUUCAAACGGUGUUGUCUCAACGGAAUUACGUGGUGCCCUAUUAAAGUGAGUGCGGUUGUCUCUAAUGCCUAACCCAUGAACGAUAGUGGUAAUUCGAUAAGAUACAUCAUGGUACGCACUAUAUCCAAUAGGGUGCAAAUAUGAUGUUCGGACACACCAUCACAUUAUGGUGUUCCAGGCGGUAUUAAUUGUGAAACAAUUUCCACAAUGUCUUAAUUGCGUGCCAAAGCUCGUAACUCAGAUACUCGUCUCUAUGAUCAUAUCAUAGACAUUUUAUCCUCUUGUCACAAUGAUCUUCAACUUCACUCUGAAAUUACUUGAACCAUUCAAUAAUUCAGACUUGUGUUUCAUCAAGUAAAUAUACUCAGUAUCUACUUAAAUCAUCCGUGAAGUAAGAACAUAACGAUAUUCACUGCAUGCCUCAGCACUCAUUGGACUGCACACAUCAAAAUGUGUUACUUCCAACAAGUUGCUAUCUUGUUCCAUUUUACUGAAAAUGAGGCUUUUCAGUCAUCUUGCCCAUGUGGUAUGAUUUGCAUUUCUCAAGCGAUUCAAAAUCAAGUGAGUCCAAGCGAUCCAUCUGCUUGGAGUUUCUUCAUGCGUAUACACCAAUAGACAUGGCUCGCAUGUCUCAAACUUUUCAAAAAUGAGUGAGUCCAAAGAUCCAUCAACAUGGAGCUUCUUCAUGCGUUUUAUACCAAUAUGACUUACAUGGCAGUGCCACAAGUAAGUGGUACUAUCAUUACUAUCUUAUAUCUUUUGGCAUGAAAAUGUGUAUCACUACGAUCGAGAUUCAAUGAACCAUUCUUUUAGGUGCAAGACCAUUGAAGGUAUUAUUCAAAUAAAUAGAGUAACCAUUAUUCUCCUUACAUGAAUAACCGUAUUGCGAUAGACAUAAUCCAAUCAUAUCUAUGCUCAACGCAAACACCAAAUAACAAUUAUUUAGGUUUAACACCAAUCUCGAUGGUAGACGGAGCAGGCGAUGCUUGAUCACAUCAACCUUGGAAACACUUCCAACACACAUCGUCAUCUCACCUUUAGCUAGUCUCCGUUUAUUCCGUAGGUCUUUUAUUUCGAGUUACUAACACUUAGCAACCGAACCGGUAUCUAAUACCCUAGUGCUACUAGGAGUACUAGUAAAGUACACAUUAACAUAAUGUAUAUCCAAUAUACUUCUAUCGACGUCGCAAGCCUUCUCAUCUACCAAGUAUCUAGGGUAAUUCUGCUCCAGUGGUUGUUCCCCUUAUUACAGAAGCACUUACUCUCGGGUUUGGGUUCAACCUUGGGUUUCUUCACUGGAGCAGUAACUGAUUUGUCGUUUCAUGAAGUACCCCUUCUUGCCAUUGCCCUUCUUAAAACUAGUGGUUUCACUAACCAUCAACAAUUGAUGCUCCUUCUUGAUUUCUACAUUCACGGUGUCGAACAAUGCGAAUAGAUCAAGGAUCAUUAUAUCUAUCCCUGUUAUGUUAUAGUUCAUCAUGAAGCUCUAGUAGCUUGGUGGCAAUGUAUUUGGAGAAACAUCACUAUCUCAUAUGGAAGAUCAACUCCCACUCGAUUCAAGUGAUUGUUGUACUCAGACAAUCUGAGCACAAGCUUAAGAUUGAGAUUUUCUCCCUUAUUAUGCAGGCUAAGAAAAUCGUCGGAGGUCUUAUACCUCUUGACGUGGGCACGAUCCUGAAAUCCCAAUUUCAGCCCUCGAAACAUCUCAUAUGUUCUGUGACAUUUAAAAAAUGUCUUUGGUGCCUCAAUUCUAAACCAUUUAACUUUACCGAACUAUCAUGUAGUCAUCAAAACGUGUAUGUCAGAUGUUCGCAACAUCCACAAGCCACGUUCGAGGUCCAGCACACCGAGCGGUGCAUUAAGGACAUAAGCCUUCUACUGUCUGCAUAAUUGCUACUAUCAACUUUCAACUAUAUUUUCUCUAGGAUCAUAUCUAAAACAGUAGAACUAAAGCGCGAGCUAUGACAUAAUUUGCAAAAACCUUUUGACUAUGUUCAGGAUAAACAAGUUCAUCUUAUGAACUCCCACUCAAAUAGACAUCCCUCUAGUCAUCUAAGUGAUUACAUGAUCCGAGUCAACUAGGCCGUGUCCGAUCAUCACGUGAGACGGACUAGUCAUCAUCCGUGAACAUCUUCAUGUCGAUCGUAUCUACUAUACGACUCAUGCUCGACCUUUCGGUCUCUUGUGUUCCGAGGCCAUGUCUGUACAUGCUAGGCUCGUCAAGUCAACCUAAGUGUUUCACGUGUGUAAAUCUGGCUUACACCCUUUGUAUGUGAACGUUAGAAUCUAUCACACCCGAUCAUCACGUGGUGCUUCGAAACGACGAACUUUCGCAACGGUGCACAGUUAGGGGGAACACUUUCUUGAAAUUUUAAUGAGGGAUCAUCUUAUUUACUACCGUCGUUCUAAGCAAAUAAGAUGCAUAAACAUGAUAAACAUCAGAUGCAAUCAAAAAGUGACAUGAUAUGGCCAAUAUCAUUUUGCUCCUUUUGAUCUCCAUCUUCGGGGCUCCACGAUCAUCAUUGUCACCAGCAUGACACCAUGAUCUCCAUCAUCGUGUCUUCAUGAAGUUGUCUCGCCAACUAUUACUUCUACUACUAUGGCUACCGGUUAGCAACAAAUUAAAGUAAUUACAUGGCGUUGUUUAAUGACACGCAGGUCAUACAAUAAAUUAAGACAACUCCUAUGGCUCCUGCCGGUUGUCAUACUCAUCGACAUGCAAGUCGUGAUUCCUAUUACAAGAACAUGAUCAAUCUCAUACAUCACAUAUCAUUCAUCACAUUAUUUUGGCCAUAUCACAUCACAUAACAUACCCUGCAAAAACAAGUUAGACGUCCUCUAAUUGUUGUUUGCAUGUUUUACGUGGCUGCUAUGGGUUUCAAGCAAGAACGUUUCUUACCUACGCAAAAGCCACAACGUGAUAUGCCAAUUGCUAUUUACCCUUCAUAAGGACCCUUUUCAUCGAAUCCGAUCCGACUAAAGUGGGAGAGACUGGCACCCGCUAGCCACCAUAUGCAACAAGUGCAUGUCAGUCGGUGGAACCUGUCUCACGUAAGAGUACGUGUAAGGUCGGUCCGGGCCGCUUUAUCCCACAAUGCCGUUGAAUCAAGAUAAGACUAGUAACGGUAAGAAAAUUGAACAAAAUCAACACCCACAACAACUUGUGUUCUACUCGUGCAUAGAAUCUACGCAAAGACCAAGCUCAUGAUGCCACUGUUGGGGAACGUAGCAGAAAUUCAAAAUUUUCCUAUGAGUCACCAAGAUCUAUCUAUGGAGAGACUAGCAACAAGGGGAAGGAGAGUGCAUCUACAUACCCUUGUAGAUCGCUAAGCGGAAGCGUUCAAGAGAACGGGGUUGAAGGAGUCAUACUCGUCGUGAUCCAAAUCAUCGGAGAUCCUAGUGCCGAACGGACGGCACCUCCGCGUUCAACACACGUACAGCCCGGUGACGUCUCCCAUGCCUUGAUCCAGCAAGGAGAGAGGGAGAGGUUGAGGAAGACUCCAUCCAGCAGUAGCACAACGGCGUGGUGGUGAUGGAGGAGCGUGGCAAUCCUGCAGGGCUUCGCCAAGCACCGCGAGAGAGGAGGAGUACUUGGGAGAGGGGGAGGGCUGCGCCAGAACUUGGGGUGCGGCUGCCCUCCCACCCCUCCACUAUUUAUAGGUGGGGAGAGAAGGGGGCCGGCCCCCUAGAUCCCAUCUAGGGUUGGGGGCGGCGGCCAAGGGGGGGGGGGAGGAGUGCCUCCCAAGUCAAGUGGAGGCCCUCCCCCUGAGGGUUUCCCCUCUCCCAUGCGCAUGGGCCUUGGGGUGCUGGUGCCCCUGGCCCAUUAAGGCUAGGGCACCCCCUUACAGCCUAUGCUUCAGUAUUGGACGUGGUGGAACAAUUUCCGGACCUCCGGACCCCUCCGGAAUCCUCUGGAACCUUCUGGAAGCCUUCCGCUACAAUACCAGAAAAACCCGAACUUUUCCGGGAACCCGAACAACAACUUUCCAUAUAUAAAUGUUUACCUCCGGACCAUUCCGGAACUCCUCAUGACGUCCGAGAUCUCAUCCAGGACUCCGAACAACAUUCGGUAACCACGUAUAUCUAUUCCCUAUAACCCUGGUGUCAUCGAACCUUAAGUGUGUAGACCUUACGGGUUCGGGAACCAUGCAGACAUGACCGAGACGUUCUCCGGUCAAUAACCAACAGCGGUAUCUGGAUACCCAUGUUGGCUCCCACAUGUUCCACGAUGAUCUCAUCGGAUGAACCACGAUGUCGAGGACUCAAUCGAUCCUGUAUACAAUUCCCUUUGUCUAGCGGUAUAAUACUUGCCCGAGAUUCGAUCGUCGGUAUCCUGAUACCUCGUUCAAUCUCGUUACCGGCAAGUCUCUUUACUAGUUCCGUAACACAUCAUCUCGUGAUCAACUCCUUGGUCACAUUGCGCAUAUGAUGAUGUCCUACCGAGUGGGCCCAGAGAUACCUCUCCGUCACACGGAGUGACAAAUCCCAGUCUCGAUUCGUGCCAACCCAACAGACACUUUCGGAGAUACCCGUAGUGUACCUUUAUAGCCACCCAGUUACGUUGUGACAUUUGGUACACCCAAAGCAUUCCUACGGUAUCCGGGAGUUGCACAAUCUCAUGGUCUAAGGAAAUGAUACUUGACAUUAGAAAAGCUUUAGCAUACGAACUACACGAUCUUUGUGCUAGGCUUAGGAUUGGGUCUUGUCCAUCACAUCAUUCUCCUAAUGAUGUGAUCCCGUUAUCAACGACAUCCAAUGUCCAUGGUCAGGAAACCGUAACCAUCUAUUGAUUAACGAGCUAGUCAUCUAGAGGCUUACUAGGGACUUGGUGUUGUCUAUGUACCCACACAUGUAUCUGAGUUUCCUGUCAAUACAAUUAUAGCAUGGAUAAUAAAUGAUUAUCAUGAACAAGGAAAUAUAAUAAUAAUAACUAAUUUAUUAUUGCCUCUAGGGCAUAUUUCCAACAGGCGUAUCAACGGACUAUGGAGAUGCCCAUUAAUAGAUAUCAAUGUGAGUAAGUAGGGAUUGCCAUGCAACGGAUGCACUAGAGCUAUAAAUAUAUGAAAGCUCAACAAAAUAAACUAAGUGGGUGUGCAUCCAACUCGCUUGCUCACGAAGACCUAGGGCACUUUGGAGGAAGCCCAUCAUUGGAAUAUACAAGCCAAGUUCUAUAAUGAAAAAUUCCCACUAGUAUAUGAAAGGGACAACAUAUGAGACACUCUAUCAUGAAGAUCAUGGUGCUAUUUUGAAGCACAAGUGUGGAAAAAGAGAUAGUAGCAUUGUCCCUUCUCUCUUUUUCUCUCUUUUUUUUCUUUUUCUUUUUUUUCUUUUUCUUUUUCUCUUUUUUUUCUUUGGCCUUUUUUUUCUUUUUGGCCUUUACUUUUUUCUUUUCUUUUUUUUUCUUUUUGUAAAUUCCGAAGUAUCAUCCAACUUGUGCGGGAAUCAUGGUCUUCAUCAUACUUUCCUCACGAGGACAAUGCUCUAAUAAUGAAGAUCAUCACACUUUUAUGGAUUUACAACUCAAAGCUAGAACAAAAUAUGACUCUAUAUGAAUGCCUCCGGUGGUGUACCGGGAUAUGCAGUGACUCAAGUGCAACAUGUAUGAAAAUUGUGAAGGUGCCUUGCCACAAAUACGAUGUCAACUACAUGAUCAUGCAAAGAGCAAUAUGACAAAAGUAAUGUGUGUCAUAUGAACGGAGCGGUGGAAAGUUGCAUGGCAAUAUAUCUCGGAAUGGCUAUGGAAAUGCCAUAAUAGGUAGGUAUGGUGGCUGUUUUGAGGAAGGAGUAUGGUGGGUAUAUAGUACCGGCGAGAAUUGCGCGGCACAAGAGAGGCUAGCAAUGGUGGAAGGGUGAAAGGGUGCGUAUAAUCCAUGGACUCAACAUUAAUCAAAAGAACUCAUAUACUUGUUGCAAAAAUUUAGCAGUCAUCAAAAAUCAAAGCACUACGCGCAUGCUCCUAGGGGGAUAUAUUGGUAGGAAAAUACCAUCGCUCUUCCCCGACUGCCACUCAUAAGGAAGACAAUCAAUAAAUAAAACUGUGCUCCAACUUUAUCACAAAGCAGUUCACCAUACGUGCAUGCUACGGGAAUCACAAACUUCAACACAAGCAUUCUUCAUAAUCACCCAACUAGCAUGACUUUAAUAUUACUGCCUCCACAUCUCAAAACAAUUAUCAAGUAUCAAGUUGAUCAUAGCAUCCAAUUCACUUCCUAUGAUAGUUUUUAUUAUACCCAACUUGGAUGCUCAUCAUUCUAGGACCAUCUUUGUAACAAUAGCAAAUACCAUGCUGAUCUAAAAAGACUCUCAAAAUGAUAUAAGUGAAUCAUGAGAGACUAGCAAUUUCUUCAGAAUUAAGACACACACCGCCGUGCUCUAAAAGAUAUAAGUGAAGCACUAGAGCAAAAACUAUCAAGCUCAAAAGAUAUAAGUGAAGCACAUAGAGUAUUCUAGAAAAUUCUAAUCAAAGAGGCUUCUCCAAAAAGGUGUGUUACAGCAAGGAUGAUUGUGUUAAACUAACAAGCAAAGACUAAUAUAAUGCACGACGCUCCAAGCAGAACACGUAUCAUGUGGCGAAUAAAAAUAUAGCUCCAAGUAAAGUUACCAAUGAACGAAGACGAAAGAGGGGAUGCCUUCCCGGGGCAUCCCCAAGCUUAGGCUUUUGGCUACUCUUGAAUAUCUUGGGGUGCCAUGGGCAUCCCCAAGCUUAGGCUCUUGCCACCCUUUAUUCCAUAGUCCAUAAAGGCUUUACCCAAAACUUGAAAACUUCACAACACAAAACUCAACAGAAAAGCUUAUAAGCUUCGCUAGUGAAAGAAAAUAAAACCACAACAUAAGGUACUGCAAUGAACUCAUUCUUUAUUUAUUUUGGUGUUAAACCUACUGUAUUCCAACUUUCUUAUGGUUUAUAAACUAAUUUAUUAGCCAUAGAUGCAUUGAAAUAAGCAAACAACACACGAAAAAUAGAAUCUGUCAAAAACAGAACAGUCUGUAGCAAUCUUUAACUAACGCAAACUUCUAGAACUCUAAAAAUCCUACAAAAAUAGUACGUACUGGAAAAUUUGUAUAUUGAUCAGCAGCAAAAAGAAUCAAUGCAAAAGCACGUUUCUGUGAUUUAUUGAAUUUUUCCUCGUGAGCGCAAAGUUUCUGUUUUUCAGCAGAAUCAAAUCAACUAUCAUCAUAGCUUAUCCUAUAGGUUCUACUUGGCACAAACACUAAUUAAAAAACACAUCUAAACAGAGAGUAGAUGCAAGAUUUAUUCCUAAACAGGAUCAAAAGAAAAGAACAUAAAGAAAAAUUGGGUUGCCUCCCAACUAGCGCUAUCGUUUAACGCCCCUAGCUAGGCAUAAAAGCAAGGAUAGAUUUAACUAGUGCCAUCUUUGGGACUAGAUUCGUAAAUAGCACGCAUGAUAGAUUCAUAAGGUAAUUUGACUUUCUUUCUUGGAAAGUGCUGCAUGCCUUUCUUUAAAGUAUAUUGGAAUCUAAUUUUCCCUUCCUUCAUAUCAAUAAUCGCACCAGUCGUCCCAAGGAAAUGUCUACCAAGAAUAAUAGGGCAAGAAAGAUUGCAAUCUAUAUCAAGAACGAUAAAAUCUACCGGCACCAAAUUUCUAUUAGCAACAUUAAGAACAUCAUUGAUACUUCCCAUAGGCUUUUUAAUGGUGGAAUCCGCAAGGUGCAAAUUUAAAGAGCAAUCAUCAAGAUCAUGGAAAUCUAGAAUAUCACAUAAAGUUUUCGGAAUCGUGGAAACACUAGCACCCAAGUCACAUAAAGCGAAACACUCAUAAUCUUUAAUUCUAAUCUUUAGGUUCCCACUCAUCAUUAAGUUUUUUAGGUAUAGAAACUUCCAAAUUCAGUUUUUCAUCAUAAGAUUGCAACAAGGCAUCAACGAUAUGUUUGGUAAAAGCUUUAUUAUAAGCAUGAGGAGAAUUAACAACGGAUUGCAACAAGGAAAUACAAACUUUUAAAGAGAAAUUAUCAUAAUCAAAUUCCUUGAAAUCCGAGAUAGUAGGUUCAAUAUUAGAAGUUGAAGAUUCUCCAAUCUCUCUUUUACCAAUUUUAACAUCAUGAUCUAAAAAUUCUGAAUUUUUGGGACGCCUUCUAGGCAAAGUUAAUUCAUCAUCACUUCCAUAAUCAUAAAAUUCAUCUUGCAAAACAUAGAUCUAAUCGGAGACGCAUCAAUAACUUUAAGGUCCUCAUCAUUAUUUUCAUGUAGACUAGAAGAACAUACUUUUAUGAAGCUUUCUUUUUUAGCAUGCAAUCUAGCGGUUCUUUCCUUGCACUCGUCAAUGGAGAUUCUCAUUACUUUGAGAGACUCAUUGAUAUCAUGCUUGAAAGAAGAAGAUCCAAGUUUAAGAUAAUUAACAUCAAGCGAAAGUUUAUCAACGUUCCUAGCCAAAUCAUCAACUUUAAGCAAUUUUUCUUCAAGCAAGGCAUUAAAAUUCUUUUGAGAAAUCAUAAAUUCUUUCACACUAUUCUCAAAAUCAGAGGGCAUCUUAUUAAAAUUACCAUAAGAAUUAUUGUAGGAAUUUCUAUAAUUGUUAGAGGAAUUACUAGGGAACGGACUAGCAUUAAAAUUUCCUCUAUAAGCAUUGUUUCCAAAAUUAUUCCUACCAACAAAAUUCAGAUCCAUAGAUUCAUUAUUAUUAUCAAUAAAAGAAGACAAAGGCAUAUCAUUUGGAUCAAGAGGAGUAUUUUUAGUAGCAAAAAUCUUCAUAAGUUCAUCCAUCUUUCCACUUAAAACAUUGAUUUCUUCUAUAGCAUGCACUUUUUUACUAGAAGAUCUUUCGGUGUGCCAUUGAGAACAAUUAGCCAUAAUAUUAUCAAGCAAUUUUGUAGCAUCUCCUAACGUAAUUUCCAUAAACUUGCCUCCCGCGGUCGAAACUAAGAGAUUUCUAGAGGCAAAGUUCAAACCGGCAUAAAAAUUUUGUAUGAUCAUCCAUAAAUUCAGACCAUGAGUAGGGCAAUUGUGAAGCAUCAAUUUCAUUCUUUCCCAAGAUUGGGCAACAUGCUCAUGAUCAAGUUGUUUAAAAUUCAUAAUAUCGUUCCUAAGAGUGAUGAUCUUAGCGGGAGGAAAAUACUUAGAGAUAAAAGCAUCUUUGCACUUGUUCCAAGAAUCAAUACUAUUUUUGGGCAAAACGAAAACCAAAUUUUAGCACGAUCUCUAAGUGAAAACGGAAAUAACUUCAAUUUGACAAUAUUGUUAUCCAUAUCUUUCUUCUUUUGCAUAUCACACAAAUCAACAAAAUUGAUCUUUCAUAACAAGAUUCACUAGGAAGGCCGGCGAAUUGAUCUUUCAUAACAAGAUUCAGCAAAGCAACAUUGAUUUCACAAGACUCAACAUCAUUAAGAGGAGCAAUUGGAGUACUAAGGAAGUCAUUAUUAUUGGUAUUCGAGAAGUCACACAACUUGGUAUUAGCUUGUGCCAUGGCAACAAGUAAUCCAACACACAAGCAAACAGAAAAACGGCAAGCGAAAAGAGUGGAGGAGAUUGGGAAGGAGAAGGCAAAUAAAAUGACAAGGGUGAAGUGGGGGGAGUGGAAAACAAGAGGAAAAUAAUGUAAAUGUGAGGGAGAUGGGUUUGUGAUGGGUACUUGGUAUGUCUUGACUUGAGCGAAGACCUCCCACGCAACGGCGCCAGAAAUCCUUCUUGCUACAUCUUGAGCUAGCGUUGGUUUUCCCUGAAGAGGAGAGGGUGAUGCAGCAAAGUGUAGCGUAAGUAUUUCCCUCUGUUUUGAGAACCAAGGUAUCAAUCGAGUAGGAGGCUCCUCAAAAGUCCCACGCACCUACACAAACAAACUGAGAACUCGUAACCAACGCAAUAAAGGGGUUGUCAAUCCCUUCACGGUCACUUACGAAAGUGAGAUCUGAUAGAGAAAGUAUGAUAAGAUAAAUAUAUUUUUGGUAUUUCAUAAUAUAGAUGCAGAAAAGUAAAGAUGCAAAUAAAAGUACAUUGAAAGAAAAUAUAUGAUAAGAGAUAGACCCGGGGGCCAUAGGUUUCACUAGAGGCUUCUCUCGAGAGCAUAAGUAUUACGGUGGGUGAACAAAUUACUGUCAAGCAAUUGAUAGAAAAGCGAAUAAUUAUGACGUUAUCUAGGCAUGAUCAUGUAUAUAGGCAUCACGUCCAUAACAAGUAGACCGACUCCUGCCUGCAUCUACUACUAUUACUCCACACAUCGACCGCGAUCCAGCAUGCAUCUAGAGUAUUAAGUUCAUAAGAACGGAGCAACGCAUUAAGCAAGAUGACAUGAUGUAGAGGGAUAAACUCAUGCAAUAUGAUAUAAACCCCAUCUUGUUAUCCUUGAUGGCAACAAUACAAUACGUGUCUUGCAACCCUUUCUGUCACUGGGUAAGAUCACCGCAAGACUGAACCCAAAGCUAAACACUUCUCCCAUGGCAAGAAAGAUCAAUCUAGUAGGCCAAACCAAACUGAUAAUUCGAAGAGACUUGUAAACAUAACUCAAUCAUACAUUAAAGAAUUCAGAGAAGAUUCCAAUAUUAUUCAUAGAUAAACUUGAUCAAAAACCCACAAUUCAUCGGAUCUCGACAAACACACUGCAAAAAGAGAUUACAUCGAAUAGAUCUCCACAAGAGAGGGGGAGAACAUUGUAUUGAGAUCCAAAAAGAGAGGAGAAUCCAUCUAGCUAAUAACUAUGGACCCGUAGGUCUGUGGUAAACUACUCACAAGUCAUCGGAGAGGCUAUGGUGUUGAUGUAGAAGCCCUCUGUGAUCGAUUCCCCCUCCGGCAGAGUGCCAGCGAAGGCUCCAAGAUGUAAUCUCGCGGAUACAGAAGGUUACAGCGGUGGAAAUUGUGUUUCGUGGUGCUCCUGGAUGUUUUCGGGGUCCGUGGAUAUAUAUAGGAGAAAGAAGUACGUCGGUGGACGCCCGAGGGGCCCACGAGACAGGGGGCGCGCCCCUAGGGGGGCGCCCUCCUAUCUCGUGGGGCCCUCGGAGAUUUCUUGACUUGCACUCCAGGCUCUCCGAAUCAGAUUUCUUCCAAAAAUAACGCUCCCGAAGGUUUCAUUCCGUUUGGACUCAGUUUGAUAUUCCUUUUCUUGGAAAUACUAAAAUAGGCAAAAAAACAGCAAUAUGGGCUGGGCCUCCGGUUAGUAGGUUAGUCCCAAAAAUGAUAUAAAUGUGUAGAAUAAAGCCCAUAAACAUCCAAAAGAGGUAAUAUAAUAGCAUGGAACAAUCAAAAAUUAUAGAUACGUUGGAGAUGUAUCACUCGCCGGAGGAGGAGGAGGAGGCGUCCAGUUCGGAAUCUUGAUGAACUCCUUCCGCCAUAGGCAUGGAGUCUUCAGAUCAUAACCCAGCCGAGUCUCCCCUUCACCGGUAGGGUGGUCAAGCUGGAGGUCCUCAAAUCCCUCCGUUAUUUAAUCCACCGUCACCCUAGCAUAUCCUUCUAGAAUAGGAUGACAGUGAAAAGUUGCGCCGGGAUCAGAAGGUCGAACUUGGCCGAGAGCCGCCUUGACUUUUAAGUUCUGCCAUUGCGCCAUAAGGUGGCAAUUUUGAGACUCCGUGAUAAACUCCAUGGGGUAGCUAGCAGGAGCCGUCAAGACAUGCUUCGGCUGAAGCAGUUCGGUGGAAGCCACGUUGCUUCUCCGCUGAGAUGGCAGGGUAGCUUCAGGGGAAGCAUCAGCAGGUUGUUUGUUGCGAUCUGCUUCUCGUUCCUCUAGCCCUAGUACCCUUGCGUGCUGCUACUGCAGUUGGCUAUGCUCCACUUUCUUCCUCCUCUCCUGGGUUUUGUAACCCCCGCGUCCGGAAAACCAACCUUCCACCGAAUGGAGCCUGGCGUGCCUCGUGUCCGUCCAGGGUGCUCAGGAUUCCCGAGGGCCAUUGUGAGCUCGUCGUUCUCCCUGUCUGGAACGAACGUCCCUUGCUGUGCUGCAUUGAUGUAGUGCUGAAGCCUCUUGACUGGUAUUUUUAGUUGAUCAUCCGUCCAAUGGCACUUCCCUGAUACAGGGUCCAAGGUUCCGCCAGCCCCGAAGAACCACGUCCGGCAAUAGUCUGGCCAGUUCAUUGUCUCUGGUUCGAUCUCUUUAUCAAGCAGAUCAUUCUCAGCCUUGGCCCACUUAGGAUGGGCUUUGAGGUAGCCACCUAACCCCGUGCAUGGUGAAACUUCUUCUUCGCAACAUUUUGCUUGUUUGUCGCCGACAUCUUCUUACUCUUUUCCGAUGUCUUGUGGGCCACAAAUGCGGGCCAGUGAUCUCUGAUCUUCUCAUAUUUGCCGAUGAAUUCUGGUGUCUCUUCCUUGUCGACAAACUUUUUCAUCUCUUUCCUCCACCUCCUGAAUAGGCCUGCCAUCUUGUUAAGAGAAAAAGACUUGAUUAAUUGCUCUAUAAUUGGCUUCUCCGGAUCCUCCUCUGGCGGUAGGGUGCAAUUUGCCUUCAGCUCAGUCCAAAGAUCAUCUUUCUGCAUAUCAUUGACAUAAGACACCUCAGGGUCUUCGUUCUUAGACUUAUACCAUUGGUGGAUGCUGAUCGGGAUCCUGUCCCUAACAAGAACCCCGCACUGAGCAGCAAAUGUGUUCUUUGUCCGCAUGGGUUCAAUCGGUUUGCUGUCGCGCGCGAUUUCUGUGAUCUCAAACCUUUCAUCCAAGCUCAAGUUUUUCUUCGGGCCUUGUCUCCUUACCGAAGUUGUGCUCGAUCCGAAGGGCUAGAAAAAAGAAGAAAGACGAGGUUAAUUAAUAUGUGUACAUAUACCAAAACAAUGAAUGCAUCAAUUAGCUAGUCAGCACAUGCUUAACUAAUAUAUAUACCUGGCCAGACUCGGUUCAGUCACCGGAGCCAUCAUCACGGUCUCUUUCUUGCACCGCCAUUGUGUCACCAGAGCCGUCCUCACGGUCUCCUUCUUGCACCGUCAUUGGGUCUCCGAAGCCAUCAUAAUCAUAGCCUGCUUCUUCACCCUGUCCUUCCAGACCAUCGGUGUCGUUCAGAAACAAGAAGACGGCAUCACUUCCUUGUGCGAUUAUGUCCCUCAACAACGCUUCUUGUGCUUCGUCUCGGGGGGUGUCCAUAGUUUCUACAAAUAUUUACAACAUGGCAAUUAUUAUUCAAACAUGACAGAUGGAUAUAUUAGCUAGUGGCAAAUGUAGAACUAGCUCGCUAAUCACAGUAAGGAAUCAUAUUAAUUAGUGGCCUCGACGCUGCUUCUCUUGCUAGGGUUUGGGGUGGCCUCGAGAACGCUUCAAGGAGGGGGUAAUAUCGACAACGACGAGAUACAUACACGGGAAAAUAAUGUUAUCGGGGAGGGGGUAUAUCGACCCCCCCCCUCACAUGUUGAAGUUAUCGGGAGGGGUUUAUAUCGACAACGACGACAUACGUACAUGGGAAAAUAAUAUUAUCGGGGAGGAGGUAUAUCGCCACCCCCCCCCCCCACGUGUUAAAGGGGAAGUGUAAUUCUCAAAGUAUUUUCACUGUAAUAUCUUUUAGUAUUUUUCGCACUGUAGUUAUCUUGUUUUGAUACAGUGAAAUUCUCAAAGUAUUUACACCGUAAUUUUUUAGUGUAACUCUCAAAUGAUUUUACACUGUAAUCGUCUUGUUUGAUGCAUUGUAAUUAUCUUGUUUUGCUACAGUGUAAAUCUCAAAGUAAUUGCACUGUAAUAUCUUAUUGAAUUUUACAGUGUAAUUCUCAAAGGAUUUACACUGUAAUUCUCGUAGUGGAUUUACAGUGUAAUUCUCAAAGUAUUUUCACUGCAAUAUCUAUUAGUGUUUCUCUCACGGUAUUUAUAGUGGAUUUUUCGUACUGUAAUUAUCUUGUUUGAUUACAGUGUAAUUCUCGUAGUAUUUACACUGUAAUUUUUCGCACUGUAAUUACAGUGUAAUUCACAUAGUAUUUACACUGAAAUAUUUUAGUGUAACUCUCAAAUGAUUUUACACUGUAAUUGUCUUGUUUGAUCUAGUGUAAUUAUCUUGUUUUGAUAGUGUAAAUCUCAAAUUAUUUAUACUGUAAUAUCUAGUGGAUUUACAGUGUAAUUCUCAUUUUUGGAUUUACACUAUAAUUUUUUUUUAUUUUUUUUUUGCAUUUUUACUAUGUAACUAUCAUUGAAUUUACACUCUAACUAUUUACUGGCUAACAUGAAAAGGAUUAACAUGAAAAGGAUUAACUUCUUCAUGGUAACAAGCACUUUAAUUCUACCGAUAGCACUUUACACUCUAACUAUUUACACUUCUUCAUUGUAACAAGCACUUUAAUUCUACCGAUAGCACUUUAUUUUCUUUCUAACAUGAAAAGGAUUAACUUCGAAGAGUUUCAUGUGUUGUACCCAGCUGUCCCUAAGCAAGAUGAUCGGUAUUUAAGUUUUUCUGCCUUUUCAUUUUCUUGUUUAAUUUUUAUACAGAUUUGUAUGAAACCUUUAUUUUUCUUAUUUGUGUUCUUUUUUAACUUUUCAGCCAUGAAUGUGGUGUCUUCACAUUUAAGUAUAUGGAGAUAUUCACACCAAGAACUUAGAUGGCAAACUUUUUCUCCAGUGUAGACAUUCCAAAUCUUAGGAUCAGAUAUGCGAAUGACAUGUUUUUCAGCCCCAUGAACAGUUGUGACAAGUCUUUCGUAACUGAUUUCUACCGUGAUGUAUGUUCUUUACUUCCCUUGUCAUUUGUUUCAUUUUCUUAUUCUCCUUUUUAGCUUCUUGUUUCUUUUACUAACAUUCUGGGUCUCUUUUAAUAUUUGUGUGUAGGGAAAGGCAAUGCCGGGUGAGGUUAAACAUGUGCGCGGUCCUAGCACAAAUGGCGGCUGAGUUCUUUUUUUAGUAGCAUGUAAUCUGAACAAAGUAGCAUGCAAUCUGAGCAUAUCAGUAUUUUUGAUUUAGUAGUGGUCUGUAUGUUUUUUCAUUUUGAUUGUAAUGUCAUGUCUUUAUGCCUGUAACUCUGCAGUACGUAUUUCGAGUAGAUUUUUGAUUCUAUAUCAAGGGUCCUUUUUUGUUAAUGAUCAUUUGUUCCUUGUAUCUCAAUUUAUCCCUUCUUCACCUUUGUGUUAGUGCUGCUUUUUUGACUGACUUUGGUAAAGUUUGGGAGUGUCAUUUUAGUGGAUUUACAGUGUCAUUUUAGUGGAUUUUACAGUGUCUUUUCAUUGCAUCUUACACUGUAAUUCUUAGUGGGGCAUUGUAGAAAUUAGUAUCUAUUUAGUGAUUUUACACUCAUUUUCUAGGUGGUAAUAUGAUUUUAACUUUACCUCUUCUUUGUCAAUGUAUUUU